rnacentral:lncRNA from 1 species
CACCAUGUACCAAUUUGUCUUCAUCUAAUUUAUGUGCUUUCUUUUUCUAACCAUCAUUCUUCUUUUUACAAAGUAACUAGAGUCCAAAAGAUCAGGUGUUCAUGUUCUAAGCAAAGGUGAAGAUGGAUCAAGCAAACAAAGCUGCAAAAGCAAGGCACUUGAAUAGUACCUGAUGGCAACUCAGCAUCCGACCAAAAGAGUGGAUGGGGAUGGUGGGGAGAGCUUGGUUCUCUCUUGUGCGUGUUGUGUGCAGUAGAGGAAGUCAAAGGUGAAAGGAGGAGGCUGCUAUUUAUAGUAGUGUAGGGUGCUAGGUCGGUUUGGUAAAAGAGAGAUGUGGCUGACAUGCAUGGUUGCAUGAGCAUGCAAGCCUCCACAAGUAAUCAUGUGAGUUGUACAACGGACAAGUGUAUAGUGCAUGGUUCGACACGAGAUGGCAUAUAAUUUGUGUGUAAGGAAUGAGACAAGGGACUAAUUAUAAAUCUGCAAACAAUAAGGGAGUUGGAGAAGAACCAUUGUACAUGGCUAAAUACUAACUUUUUUGGUUGCAAUAAAUUUUUGAUAUUAGUGUUGUGGUUAAUUAUAAUUAUUCAACUAACUAUGCCUUGUGACACUGGUGUAACAUAGCGCCGUCAAAAAUAUUGUUAUCUAAUUUUGAGGGUUUUUACAUCCCUUCCCCCUUCGAAAAAUUUCGUCCUCGAAAUUUGAGUUGUGACUCGUAUAGGCUGGCCCAAGUCUAACCCUCUCAGUCUAAUCAUGUAUAGGCUAGCAUUAAAGAUUAUACACUCAAUGCAUAUGGGAUUGUUGUGGAAGACAUGCUCAACAAUUAUUGGGCCUCCGAGUGAGUCUACUUCUAUGAGUUUGGCUAGGGAGGUUCGGUCCAAACUACAUGUCUCAGCAAAGUGUCGGGAUAUGAAAGGAUAUGUUGCCCUUGAUGUAAUAAAAUAAAUAAUAAUAAUACUAAGACUACUUCAAGAGGGAUUUGUAGGUUACUGAUGACCCACAAGUGUAGGGAAUCUAUCGUAGUCCUUUCGAUAAGUAAGAGUGUCGAAUCCAAUGAGGAGCAGAAGGAAAUGAUAAGCGGUUUUCAGUAAGGUUUUCUCUGCAAGCACUGAAACUGUAGGUGAUAGAUAGUUUUGUGAUAAGAUAAAUAGUAACGAGUAACAAGUAAAUAAAGUAAAUAAAGUGCAGCAAGGUGGCCCAAUUCUUUAUGUAGCAAAGGAUAAGCCUGGACAAUUUCUAAUAGUGAUAAAGGAGCUCCCGAGGAAACAUUGAGAAUUAUCGUCAAGCUAGUUUACAUCACGUUCAUAUGAUUCGUGUUCGGUACUUUGAUAACUUGAUAUGUGGGUGGACCGGUACUUGGUUACUGCCCUAACUUGGACAAGCAUCCCACUUAUGAUUAACCCCUAUUGCAAGCAUCCGCAACUACAAAAGAAGUAUUAAGGUAAACCUAACCACAACAUUAAACAUAUGGAUCCAUAUAAGCCCCUAACGAAGCAACGCAUAAACUACGGUUUAAUCUUCUGUCACUCUAGCAACCCAUCAUCUAUUUAUUACUUCCCCAUGCCUUCCUCUAGGCCCAAAUAAUGGUGAAGUGUCAUAUAGUUGACGUUCACAUAACACCACUAGAGGAAAAGACAACAUACAUCUCAUCAAAAUAUCGAAUGAAUACCAAAUUCACGUGACUACUAAUAGCAAGACUUCACCCAUGUCCUCAAAAACAAACGUAACUACUCACAAAGCAUAUUCAUGUUCAUAAUCAGAGGAGUAAUAAUAUGCAUAAAGGAUCUGAACAUAUGAUCUUCCACCAAGUAAACCAAUUAGCAUCAACUACAAGGAGUAAUCAACACUACUAGCAACCCACGGGUACCAAUUUGUGGUUUUGAUACAAGAUUGGAUACAAGAGAUGAACUAGGGUUUUGGAAGGAGAUGGUGCUGGUGAAGAUGUUGAUGGAGAUUGACCCCCUCCCGAUGAGAGGAUCAUUGGUGGUGACGUUGGUGAUGAUUUCCCCCUCCCGGAGGGAAGUGUCCCCGGCAGAAUAGCUCUGCCAGAGCCCUAGAUUGAUUCCGCCAAGAUUCCACCUCAUGGCGGCGGAGUUUCGUCCCGUAAGCUUGCCCACAAUUUUUUCCAGGGUAAAAGUGAUGAUAUGGCAGAAGAUGGACGUCAGAGGCCCACCAGGGGGCCCAGGAGAUAGGGGGGCGCGUCCCCUGUCUCCUGGACAGGGUGUGGGCUCCCUGGCAUAUUUCAGGACUUUUGGAGCUGUGCAGAAUAGGUUUCCAACGUUUGCUCCUUUUCUAGCCAGAAUUUCAGCUGCCGGCAUUCCCCCUCUUCAUGGUAAACCUUGUAAAAUAAGAGAGAAUAGCCAUAAGUAUUGAGAUAUAAUGUGUAAUAACAGCCCAUGAUGCAAUAAAUAUUGAUAUAAAAGCAUGAUGCAAAAUGGACGUAUCAACUCCCCCAAGCUUAGACCUCGCUUGUCCUCAAGCGGAAGCCGAAAUUGAAAAAUAUGUCCACAUGUUUAGAGAUAGAGGUGUCGAUAAAAAUAAAAUACGGACAUGAGGGCAUCAUGAUCAUUCUAAUAACAACUACAUACAUAAAUUUUGUCAUAUGAUUCUCUAUGCUCAAGCUACAAGCAAUUCAUAAUGUCAAGUAUGGUUCAAAAACUUCAUUGGGAACUAACAAACUAUGAUCUCAGUCAUUGAAGCAAUUGCAAUUUAUCGUAACAUCAGAAAGAGUCAAUAAUGGAGCUUUUCAGCAAGCUCACAUACUCAACUAUCUCUUAGUCUUCUACAAUUGCUAACACUCACACAGUACUUGUGGUUAUAGACUUUCAGCCGGACACUGAGAAAGAUAGGGACUUAUUGUGUUGCCUCCCAACGUAUUCACCUUUAGGUGAUGUCAACAAUAUUAGCCCAUGCUAACUUACAUCCAAUUGGAUAUAUAUAUCAUGAUCUUUCAAACACGAGGAGCUUGCCAAAGGAUAAAAUGAAAAAGGGACAGGUGAGGAUCACCUUGACUCAAGCAUAAAGUAAAAACAUAAAGUAAAAGAUAGGCCCUUCGCAGAGGGAAGCAGAGGUUGUCAUGUGCAUUUAGGGUUGAUGCACAAAAUCUUAAUGCAAAAGAACGUCACUUUAUAUUGCCCCUUGUAUGUGGACCUUUAUUAUGCAGUCCGUCGCUUUUAUUACUUCCACAACAAGUUCGUACAAAGCUUAUUUUCUCUGCACUAAUAAGUCAUACAUAUUUAGGUAGCAAUUUUAUCGCUUGCAACAUGACAACUUACUUGAAGGAUCUUACUCAAUCCAUAGGUAGGUAUGGUGGACUCUCAUGGCAAAACUGGGUUUAAGGGUAUUUGGAAGCACAAGUAGUAUCUCUACUUGGUGCAAGGAAUUUGGCUAGCAUGAGGGGGAAAGGCAAGCUCAAUAUGUUCGGAAGGUCAAUGACAAUAUACUUUAACUGAGAUGUCGGAAAACAUAGACCAUUACGUUGUCUUCCUUGUCCAACAUCAACUAUUUUAGCAUGUCAUACUUAAUGAGUGCUUCACAAUCAUAAAAGAUGUCCAAGAUAAUAUAUUUAUAUGUGAACCCCUCUUUCCUUAUCACUUCCUAUUAAUUGCAACGAUGACCAAGGCUACGUUCAUCAACUCUCAACAAUUUUUAUGCCUCAUACGUUCUAUGUGUGAAGUUAUCACUAUCCAUAAGAUCAAUAUGAACUUCAUUAUUCUUUCUACUUUCUCAAGAUCAUAGCAACAUAGCAAGGCCCUUGACUCGACACUAAUCUUUAUUAUAGAUAACUCACGGACUCGAUUACAAAAAGAGAUCACAAAGCAAAACUCGAAACUACUUGAUACCUAAAUUUCAAUCUACUAGAUCAAGAUACUACUAAAAGGAUCGAACUAAAUAAAACGGUAAAGAUAGGAGUGUGAUGGUGAUACGAUACCGGGGCACCUCCCCCCAAGCUUGGCAGUUGCCAAGGGGAGUGCCCAUAUCCAUGUGAUUAUGUCCUCAGAGGUGGUGAAGUAGGAGUUGUUGAUGAUGUAGGCUUGUCGUCCGUCUUCCAAGGCAUAGGCUCUCCAUCAUAAAAGGAUGAACGAGUCUUCGGGAUCCUUAAAUCUGCAGCCAAACUCAUUCGCUUGAAUCUAUAUUCAUACUCACAGUUCUGGUUUUGUAGGUCAUAGAUCUGGGAUUGGAGGUGCUCGAUUUUCUCUUGAAGCUUGAAGAUGGUCUCCCAAAUGACUUUAGCAUCUAGCUUGUGGUUGUUGGUGAACUCCGUGAUCAUCAUCUAGUUGGCGUUGAGUCCACGCUCCACCAUCCCUUGGCACUUGAAAACUUCCUGUUCCAUGGCUUCGAGCUUUGUCUCCAUGCUCCCGGUAUGCCUUGGUCCCUCCACAUCGCGGAUGUGCAGCACCCCCUCACGCAUCUCAAUGGUUUGAGGAUGAUGCAGCACCUCCGCGAGAUAGGGGUUGAUAACCCUCUCGAAAAACUUGUCCUUGGGAGCGCUUGGAGACGCCAUGAUGCUCUAGAUCUGAAACAGUAACAACUCGAAACGAAAACAGUGGAUAUUUGCGUGAUACGGUGGUCAAAACCUUCGGGAGUAUAUAUAAUGAAUUUUUAUCAACCAAAAUACAUAACGUGCAAGAAAACGGAGUCCGGGAGGCACACGAGGUGCCCACGAGACAGGGGGCGCACCCUACAAGGGGGGGUGCCCUCCACUCUCGUGCGGGCCUCGUGUCCCUUUCGGACUACUUCUUUCUUCCUAAAAUUCUUAAAUAAUCCAAAACUGAUAAAAAUUGCCAUUAGAGUUGUUUUGGAGUCGGUUUACUUACCGUACCACAUACCGAUACCUUUUCGGAGUCUGGAACGUUCUGGAAAGUGUCCCUUAUGUAUUCCUCGGGGGUUACUUUUUCAAUAAUAUUAGUUUCAACAUUGAUAGGAUUACCUGAAAUAUAAUGUUUAUUUCUUUGACCGUUUACCACCCUCGGAUUUGUGCCUUCGAAGUUGUUGAUUUUUAUAGCACCAGAAUGAUAGACCUCCUCGAUAACGUAGGGACCUUCCCAUUUUGAGAGAAGUUUUCCUGCAAAAAAAAUUAAACGAGAGUUGAAUAAUAACACAUAAUCUCCUACAUUAAACUCGCGCUUUUGUAUCCUCUUAUCAUGCCAGCGUUUGACUUUUUCUUUGAAUAGCUUGGCAUUCUCAUAUGCUUGGGUUCUCCAUUCAUCAAGUGAGCUAAUAUAAAACAACCUCUUCUCACCGGCAAGUUUGAAGUCAUAAUUGAGCUCUUUAAUAGCCCAAUAUGCCUUAUGUUCAAGUUCAAGAGGUAAAUGACACGCUUUUCCAUAAACCAUCUUAUAUGGAGACAUACCCAUAGGAUUUUUGUAUGCAGUUCUAUAGGCCCAUAAUGCAUCAUCAAGUUUUUUGGACCAAUUCUUUCUAGAUCUAUUCACAGUCUUUUGUAAAAUUAAUUUGAGCUCUCUAUUGCUCAACUCUACAUGACCACUAGACUGCGGAUGAUAAGGAGAUGCUAUUCUAUGAUUGACAUCAUACUUAGCAAGCAUCUUACGGAAAGCACCAUGAAUAAAAUGUGAACCACCAUCAGUCAUAAGAUAUCUAGGGACUCCAAACCUCGGAAAAAUAACUUCUUUAAGCAUUUUAAUAGAAGUGUUAUGAUCAACACUACUAGUUGGAAUAACUUCUACCCACUUAGUAACGUAAUCAACAACAACUAAAAUAUGUGUAUAACCAUUAGAGGCAGGAAAAGGUCCCAUAUAAUCAAAGCCCCAAACAUCAAACAAUUCAAUAACAAGAGAAUAAUUCUUAGGCAUUUCUUGACGUCUACUAAUGUUACCUAUUCUUUGACAUUCAUCACAAGAUAAGACAAACUUACAAGCAUCUUUAAAGAGAGUAGGCCAAUAAAAACCAAAUUGUAGUACCUCGUGUGCAGUUCUAUCUCCAGCGUGGUGUCCCCCAUAAGAUUCAGAGUGACACUUGCGUAGAAUCUGUUCCUGUUCAUGCUCAGGCACCCAACGUCUAAUAACACCAUCUACUCCUUUAUAAAGGUGUGGAUCAUCCCAGAAGUAAUGUCUUAAAUCAUAGAAGAACUUUUUCUUUUGCUGGUAUGUGAAACUAGGCGGUAUAUAUUUAGCAACAAUGUAACUAGCAUAAUCAGCAUACCAAGGAGCAGUACGAGAAGCAUUGACGACCGCUAAUUGUUCAUCAGGAAAGCUAUCAUUAAUAAGCAGUGGGUCAUCAAGAACAUUCUCUAACCUAGACAAGUUGUCUGCAACGGGGUUCUCAGCUCCCUUUCUAUCGAUAAUAUGCAAGUCAAAUUCUUGGAACAAGAGAACACAUCUAAUGAGUCUAGGCUUAGCAUCUUUAUUUUCCAUAAGAUAUUUAAUAGCAGCAUGAUCAGUGUGAAUAGUAACUUUGGAAUCAACAAUAUAAGGUCUAAACUUAUCACAUGCAAACACAACUGCUAAGAACUCUUUUUUAGUAGUAGCAUAAUUUCUCUGGGAAGUAUCAAGAGUCUUACUAGCAUACUGGAUAGCAUUCAAUUACUUAUCGACUCUUUGCCCUAAAACAACACCUACAUCAUAAUCACUAGCAUCGCACAUAAUUUCAAAAGGUAAAUUCCAAUCAGGCAGCUGAACAAUAGGUGCAGUGAUCAAAGCUUUCUUAAGUACUUCAAAUUCUUCUACACAAUCAUCACCAAAGAAAAGGAAUAUCUUUUUGCAAUAAAUUAGCCAGAGGCCUAGAGAUUUUAGAAAAGUCCUGAGUGAACCUCCUAUAAAAACCGGGGUGACCAAGGAAACUUCUUAUACCUUUUAUGUCCUUGGGACAUGGCAUCUUUUCAAUAGCAUCAUUGGCCUUAUCAACUUCGAUACUUCUCUCAGAGAUCUUGUGCCCCAAGACAAUGCCUUCAUUAACCAUAAAGUGACACUUUUCCCAAUUCAAGACGAGACUAGUGUCUUCGCAUCUCUGCAAAACUCGAUCAAGAUUGCUCAAACAAUCAUCAAAAGAGGAUCCAUAGACUGAGAAGUCAUCCAUGAAUACCUCACAAAUCUUUUCACAAAAAUCAGAGAAUAUAGCCAUCAUGCCUCUUUGAAAGGUUGCAGGUGUAUUACAUAAACCAAAAGGCAUAUGUCUAUAAGCAAAAGUACCAAAAGGGCAAGUAAAAGUAGUUUUAGAUUGAUCCUUCGCUGAUACAGGUAUCUGAGAGAAACCAGAAUAACCAUCUAGAAAGCAGAAAUGUGCGUGUUUGGAUAGUCUUUCUAGCAUUUGAUCAAUAAAAUGUAAAGCAUAAUGAUCUUUCUUAGUAGCUUUAUUUAACUUAAGGAAAUCAAUUACCAUCCUAUAACCUGUAAUAAUUCUUUGCGGGAUCAAUUCAUCUUUAUCAUUAGGAACAACGGUAAUACCUCCCUUUUUAGGAACACAAUGUACAGGGCUUACCCAUUCAGUAUUAGCAACGGGAUAAAUAAUACCUGCCUCAAGGAGUUUUAGUAUCUCCUUUCUUACCACUUCUUUCAUCUUGCGAUUUAAUCGUCUUUGAGGAUCUCUAACUGGUUUGGCAUCUUUCUCCACUGAAAUUUGGUGUUGACAUAAUGUGGGACUAAUGCCCUUAAGAUCAUCCAGAGUAUAGUCAAUAGUUGCUUGGUGCUUCUUCAGAGUUUUCAAUAAUCUUUCUUCUUCUUUCUCUGAAAUGUUAGCACUAAUAAUAACAGGAUAUAUUUCUUUUUCAUCAAGAUAAGCAUACUUAUGAUUAUCAAGUAAGGGUUUAAGUUCAAACACGGGAUCACCCUUGGGUGGAGGGGGAUCCCCAAGAAUUUCAACGGGAAGGUUAUGUUUCAGCAUAGGUUCCUGUUUAAGGAACACUUCAUCUAUUUCCUCCCUUUCCUUCAUAAACAUAUCGUUUUCAUGGUCUAGCAAAUAUUGUUCUAAAGGAUCAGUUGGAGGAACAGCAAUGGAAGCAAGACCAAUAAUUUCAUCCUUACUAGGUGGUUCCCUUUCACGAGGUUGUCUACUAAACUUAGCGAAAUUAAACUCAUGAGACAUACCAUCAAUGCCAACAGUGACAAUAUUCUUUUCACAAUUGAUCUUAGCACUAGCAGUAUUCAAGAAGGGUCAACCAAAAAUAAUGGGACAAAAAUCAUCUUGUGGGGAACCAAGAACAAGAAAACCAGCAGGGUAUUUAACCUUCCCACACAAAACUUCAACAUCUCUAACAAUCCCAAUAGGUUUAAUGGUAUCCCUAUUAGCAAGCUUAAUAGUAACAUCAAUGUCUUCUAAUUCAACAGGUGCAAUGUCAUGCAUAAUUUCUUUAUAUAAAUCAUAAGGUAUCGCACUAGCACUAGCACUCAUAUCACAUAAGCCAUGAUAACAAUGGUCUCCUAUUUUAACAGAAAUAACAGGCAUGCCUACGACAGGUCUACGUGUCUUAGUAUCAGGUCUAGCAAUAUUGGCAGUCUCACCCAAGAAAGAAAUAACAUGCCCAUCUAAAUCCUCAUCCAAGAGAUCUUUAACCAUAGGAAUACUAGGUUCAACAUUAAUUUGCUCAGGAGGUGUAUAAGUCCUAGUAUUACUCUUAUGAACAACAGUCGAAGCAUUAGCAUGAUCUUUUAUCCUAACAGGAAAAGGAGGUUUUUCAACAUAUGCGGUAGGAACAAUAGAAUCACUAUAGGUAAUAGUCUUUUCUUCGACUGUAAUAGGUGCAACUACUUUCACUUCAACAGGAGGAUUAUAUUUAAACCACUUCUCUUUAGGGAGAUCAACGUGAGUAGCAAAAGAUUAACAGAAAGUAGCUACUAUCUCAGAGUCAAGUCCAUACUUAGCGCUAAAUCCACGGAAAGCAUCGGUAUCCAUAAAGAUUUAACACAAUCAAACUUAGGUGGCAUACCUGACUCCUUACCAUCGUCGGAACCCCAAUCUUUAGAGUUGCGUUUAAUUCUUUCCAAUAAGUCCCAUUUGAAAUCAGUAGUCUUCAGCAUAUAAGAACUAGCACAGGAAGUAUCGAGCAGGUUGCGAUUAUCAAGAGAAAGCCGAGCAUAAAGGUUCUGAAUAAUCAUUUCCUGAGAGAGCUCAUGAUUGGGGCAUGAAUAUAACAUUGACUUAAGCCUCCCCCAAGCUUUAGCGAUGCUUUCUCCUUCGCGAGGCAAGAAAUUAUAUAUGUAAUUACGAUCAUGAUGAACAAGAUGCAUAGGAUAGAACUUUUGGUGAAAUUCCAACUUCAAUCGCUUAUAAUGCCAAGAUCCCAUAUCAUCACAUAGCCUAUACCAUGUCAAUGCAUCUCCCUUCAAAGAUAAAGGGAAGACCUUCCUUUUGACAACAUCAUCGGGAAUACCUGCAAGCUUAAAUAAUCCACAAACUUCAUCCACAAAGAUAAGGUGUAAAUCGGGAUGCAAUGUUCCGUCUCCUGCAAAUGGAUUAGCUAGCAGUUUUCUAUCAUACCCGAAGGAAUCUCAAAGUAAAUAUUUUCAUAAAGUUCAGUAGGUUGAGAAGCAACUCUUUGCUCUUCUGGUUGGGGUGAAGAUACCCCAAACAAGCCCCUCAAAGGAUUAGUUUCCAUAGUGACAAGUAACAGAAAAUCUCAGCACACUAUAUAAAUGUUUCUUUACCAAGUUCCACUCACCAAAAGCGCUACACUCCCCGGCAAUGGCGCCAGAAAAGAGUCUUGAUGACCCACAAGUGUAGGGGAUCUAUCGUAUUCCUUUCGAUAACUAAGAGUGUCGAACCCAACGAGGAGCAGAAGGAAAUGAUAAGCGGUUUUCAGUAAGGUUUUCUCUGCAAGCACUGAAACUGUAGGUGAUAGAUAGUUUUGUGAUAAGAUAAAUAGUAAAGAGUAACAAGUAAAUAAAGUAAAUAAAGUGCAGCAAUGUGGCCCAAUCCUUUAUGUAGCAAAGGAUAAGCCUGGACAAUUUCUAAUAGUGAUAAAGGAGCUCCCGAUGACACAUUGAGAAUUAUCGCCAAGCUAGUUUUCAUCACGUUCAUAUGAUUCGCGUUCGGUACUUUGAUAAUUUGAUAUGUGGGUGGACCGGUACUUGGGUACUGCCCUAACUUGGACAAGCAUCCCACUUAUGAUUAACCCUUAUUGCAAGCAUCUGCAACUACAAAAGAAGUAUUAAGGUAAACCUAACCACAACAUUAAACAUAUGGAUCCAUAUAAACCCCUAACGAAGCAACACAUAAACUAGGGUUUAAGCUUCUGUCACUCUAGCAACCCAUCAUCUACUUAUUACUUCCCCAUGCCUUCCUCUAGGCCCAAAUAAUGCCGAACUGUCAUGCAGUCGACGUUCACAUAACACCACUAGAGGAAAAGACAACAUACAUCUCAUCAAAAUAUCAAACGAAUACCAAAUUCACAUGACUACUAAUAGCAAGACUUCACCCAUGUCCUCAGGAACAAAUGUAACUACUCACAAAGCAUAUUCAUGUUCAUAAUCAGAGGAGUAAUAAUAUGCAUAAAGGAUCUGAACAUAUGAUCUUCCACCAAGUAAACCAAUUAGCAUCAACUACAAGGAGUAAUCAACACUACUAGCAACCCACAGGUACCAAUUUGUGGUUUUGAUACAAGAUUGGAUAUAAGAGAUGAACUAGGGUUUUGGGAGGAGAUGGUGCUGGUGAAGAUGUUGAUGGAGAUUGACUCCCUCCCGAUGAGAGGAUCGUUGGUGAUGACGUUGGUGAUGAUUUCCCCCUCCCGGAGGGAAGUGUCCCCGGCAGAACAGCUCUACCAGAGCCCUAGAUUGAUUCCGCCAAGGUUCCGCCUCGUGGCGGCGGAGUUUUGUCCCGUAAGAUUGCCCACGAUUUUUUCCAGGGUAAAAUUGAUGAUAUAGCAGAAGAUAGAUGCCGGAGGCCCAAUAGGGGGCCCAGAAGAUAGGAGGUGCGCCCUAUAGGGGGGGCGCCCCCCUAUCUCCUGGACAGGGUGUGGCCCCCCUGGCAUAUUUCUUUCGCUCAGAAAUUCUUAUUAAUUCCAAAAAGUUGUUUCGUGGAGUUUCAGGACUUUUGGAGCUGUGCAGAAUAGGUUUCCAAUGUUUGCUCCUUUUCCAGCCAGAAUUCCAACUGUCGGCAUUCCCCCUCUUCAUGGUAAACCUUGUAAAAUAAGAGAGAAUAGCCAUUAGUAUUGAGAUAUAAUAUGUAAUAACAGCCCAUAAUGCAAUAAAUAUUGAUAUAAAAGCAUGAUGCAAAAUGGACGUAUCAGUUACCCGUGACCACGUCCGAAUCUGCAUUCACUUGUGUCGCAUCCAUGUGUUUCAGGUGGUAUGGUACACGUGCUAGACCACUAGGACCACGUCCGCGGCUAGCCACAGGCGCAUUCGCACGUACUUGUGCUGAAUUAGCCUGAUGCUUGUUUUGAGGUGGGACAGUUCCACUCGUGCCAGGUUGUGGUUGACUCUUACUCAGGCAUUUGUUUUGUAGUGACCCUUUUGUCCACAACCAAAAUAGACAACACUCGCCUUUGGGCAAUCUCGAGCGAUGUGUGGUCCACCACACACAUGACACUUGAUAGGGGCUUUAGGAGGCAUAAAGGGUGGUCUAGGGGCUUGAGGGAGAGGAGGACAGAUGGGUCCGGCCAUUGGUGGGCGGACUAGGCCAACAGAGUUGUAUCCACUCCUCAUGAGGAACCUCUGGUCCAUUCUAGAUUUCUUUCUCCAUUCUUCCUCUAUGGCUAAUUGCCGAUUCUCAAUAAUAAUGACUCGAUCUACUAGCUCCCGAAACUUAGUUAUAUUUAUAGGGGCUAUGAUCAGCUGUAUGGAUGGCUUCAAUCCUUCUAUGAACUGGUACACCCUUUUGGUCUCAGUGUUUGUGUCUUCUGAUGCAUAGCGGGAUAGUGAGUUAAACUCAUCUAGGUACUCUGCGAUGGUUUUAGACCCUUGUUUAAGGCUUAGGAAUUCCUUACUUUUUAGUUCCAUCGCACUUUGCGGGACAUAGUUAUCUCGGAAUCUCCUCUUAAAUUCCUCCCAAGUAACUAUGUGGUUUUCGGGUAUGAUAAUUUGGACAUUUCUCCACCAUGUGGCAGCAGGACCAAUUAACCGAUGGGAUGCAUACCGAACUUUUUCUUGAUCCGUGCAUCCCACAGUGUUAAGUUUCAGCUCUAUGUCCAUCAACCAAUCCUCUGCGGCUAAUGGAUUGUGGCGGUUGAAAAGGUUGGUGGUCUAGUCUUUUGGAAGUCUCCAAUCGUGACACCUUGUUCUGGGUUUUUAGUCAGUUGGCCUCUCGUCAUACUGAACAUCUGCUCCAUGAACUUAUUCUGGUGUUCUAGAGAGUCUCGAUGAGACUGCUCCAUCCACUGAUACAUUAGAGCAAGUUGAUCGGAUCCAGGGGCAUGAUGGGGUAAUGGUGGAGGUGGAGGUAACGUCACUCUAGAUAGCAAAUCUGCCAUGUUCCUUAGCCACUCGGGUGCUAAAUCUGAUGGGUUCCCAUUGUCUUCGAAUGACUGACUACCAGAUGCCAUCGCUACCGAUCUGGUGGGCAAGGCAUAGGUUAUAACGAUAGCUACUACAUGUGAAAACAUUUUAUUUAUUUGAUUAGAGGUGAGAUUUUAGCCCACACAGUACACUUCACGCUUCCUUUUUUGGAGCAUCUAUUUAAACAGUGCACUUAACAGCGACAUACUAGAAAAUUUUGCGAAACAUUUUUUUACUUGUUGUUGGCCGAAGAAUAAAAGCAGUCAAACAAAGUGAUUCUUUUUAUCAUGACAGAGGCAAGAGAUUAAUCACAAUUCAAAAAUAGAGCCACUUGCACAUGCACAUGCACACACAAGUUCUCCACGUACCGGAUUAAAAGCAUUCAAUCAUCAAGUGUGUGACAUACAUCAAUUGAACUCAUGAAGUGCUAGGAAAAAUGUAGCAGCAUCAGCACAUAAUAUAUAUACUAGCCCAACACGUGAUGUACCAAGGCAUGGACUUGAAUGAAGAGAUCACCCGAAAAAAUCUACCAUACAUCAGACGCCAUUAUGAAGCAUUGGCAACAACAUGGCAACAACAUCACAUACAGUAUUCCAUCAUACAGAGCAAGGAGCAUAAAAAGAACCAGAAUUUAAAAUGACAUGGCAUAUGCGUCACACAAGAUCACCUAGUAGUAGAAUAUCAGUACAUCCAUAAGUCCACCAGUCCACAUGAAUACAUCACAUAACAUAAUCGCAACACCACACAUGACUAUUUGUCGUACCAUCAGGUUACCAUCACUAUCUAUAUAUGUACCUAGAAAAAAAGUAUAUACGUCUCCCUAUCUGCCUGUCGGGACCAAUCUGGGUAAAUAUGGCUGUGUAAACUCUAGAAGGGUAGCUAUGUCUACAAGACCUUUCUAAUUAUGUACAAAAUCCAAAAGGAUAGCCUCCAUGCAUCUGCCUAAACAUCUAAUAAGUGGUGGAACUAACUCUGCGAGGAGUAACUAUCUAGCAUGAUGCCACAACCUUGCUAGAAAACUAACUACUACUACUAAUAGUACGAAGUCAAUCCUCCCUGAUGAGAAGACUAGGUGAAAUGGUGAGGAGCAAGUCGGGGUUGAGGACAGAAGUCGGUGAAGGUAUAGACUGACUGGGUGUGGUGCCUCUGAAGAGUGCCUACUUGGUCUAACAGGUCCUGAACAAGCUGAGGUGUAGGUGGACACCCGUACGGUGUAGAGGGACGAGACACUGCUCGAGCGGGGGAACCCCUAAAAACUCUAGGAGUUGGGCAGUCUGCACGAGUGGGUGGAACUGCUGGGUACAAAUGAGGAAGAGCGGCAGUCAGAGUUAGUGGUGGUAAAAACGUGAGAGGUAAAACAGGAGGAUGUGGUGGAAGUGGAAGGAAAGCAGAAGUGGACGCAAAAAGGUGAAGGAGCGACAGUGGGUGGAGGUGCUGACGAAUUCCCUGAUUACUCUUAUUGAUGAGCCAAUUGCCUCUACCACGCAAACAAGGAGAAGGUGGCAGGCAUAGAAAAUAUGUAAAGUGGCAUUCCAUGCCGCACCCUAAAGUGCUGAAGCAAAGUUGUAUUGUGCGACACUAUGCCUAGAUGGGACAUCUAAGCCCUCGGGUAUGUGCACUGUGACUAAGUACCCUGUGGAAUGAUACGUCUCUAAAGUAUCUAUAAUUUUUGAUUGUUCCAUGCUAUUACAUUACCCCUUUUGGAUGUUUAUGGGCUUUAUUUUACACAUUUAUAUCAUUUUUUGGGACUAACCUACUAACCGGAGGCCCAUCCCAUAUUGCUGUUUUUUGCCUAUUUCAGUAUUUCGAAGAAAAGGAAUAUCAAACGGAGUCCAAACGGAAUGAAACCUUCGGCAACAUGAUUUUUUGGAAGAAUAUGAUCCUGGAGACUUCGAGUCCAUGUCAGAAGAUCCUCGAGGGGGCCACGAGAUAGGAGGUCGCGCCCCCCUUGCAGGGUGGUGGCCUCCUGUCUCGUGGGCCCCUUGAGCACCUCCCGACCGACUUCUUUUGCCUAUAUAAGCCUACGUACCCUAAAACCAUCAAAAAUCAAGAUAGAUUGGGAGUUCCGCCGCCGCAAGCCUCUGUAGCCACCAAAAACCUCUCGGGAGCCUAUUCCGGCACCCUGCCGGAGGGGGAAUCCAUCACCGGUGGCCAUCUUUAACAUCCCAGCGCUCUCCAUGACGAGGAGGGAGUAGUUCACCCUCGGGGCUGAGGGUAUGUACCAGUAGCUAUGUGUUUGAUCUCUCUCUCUCGUGUUCCCUCUAUGGCACGAUCUUGAUGUAUCCCGAGCUUUGCUAUUGUAGUUGGAUCUUAUGAUGUUUCUCCCCCUCUACUCUCUUGUGAUGAAUUGAGUUUCCCUCUUGAAGUUAUCUUAUCGGAUUGAGUCAUUUAUUUGAGAACACUUGAUGUAUGUAUUGCCGUGUUUAUCUGUGAUGGCAAUGGGAUAUCACGUGCCUCUUGAUGUAUGUUUUGGUGACCAACUUGCGGGUUCCGCCCAUGAACCUAUGCAUAGGGGUUGGCACACGUUCUUGACUCUCCGGUAGAAACUUUGGGGCACUCUUUGAAGUACUUUGUGUUGGUUGAAUUGAUGAAUCUGAGAUUGUGUGAUGCAUAUCGUAUAAUCAUGCCCACGGAUACUUGAGGUGACAAUGGAGUAUCUAGGUGACAUUAGGGUUUUGGUUGAUUUGUGUCUUAAGGUGUUAUUCUAGUAUGAACUCUUGAAUAGAUUGAUCUGAAAGAAUAACUUUGAGGUGGUUUCGUACCCUACCAUAAUCUCUUUGUUUGUUCUGCGCUAUUAGUGGCUUUGGAGUGACUCUUUGUUGCAUGUUGAGGGAUUUUUAUAUGAUCUAUCUAUGUUAUUAUUGUUGAGAGAACUUGCACUAGUGAAAGUAUGAACCCUAGGCCUUGUUUUCUAUCAUUGCAAUACCGUUUACACUCACUUUUAUCAUUAGUUACCUUGCUGUUUUUAUAUUUUCAGAUUAGAAAUACCUAUAUCUACCAUCCAUAUUGCACUUGUAUCACCAUCUCUUCGCCGAACUAGUGCACCUAUACAAUCUACCAUUGUAUUCAGUGUGUUGGGGACACAAGAGACUCUUUAUUAUUUGGUUGCAGGGUUGUUUGAAAGAGACCAUAUUCAUCCUACGCCUCCUACGGAUUGAUAAAUCUUAGGUCAUCCACUUGAGGAAAAUUUUCUACUGUCCUACAAACCUGUGCACUUGCAGGCCCAACAACGUCUACAAGAAGAAGGUUGUGUAGUAGACAUCAAGCUCUUUUCUGGCGCCGUUGCCAGGGAGGUUAGCGCUUGAAGGUAUAUCUUUAGAUCUUACAAUCGAAUCUUUUUGUUUCUUGUUUUAUCACUAGUUUAGUUUAUAAAAGAAAACUACAAAAAAAUGGAGUUAAGUUUGUCUCAUAUUAUCUUUUUAAUAUCUUUCGUGAGCAUGAUGGAAAGGAAAAUUGUGCUCAAGUGCUAGAAGAAGAAUGCAUUAAAAUGCUUGGUAGUAAAUCUUUGAAUGAUGAGCAUGAUUGCAAUGUUGUUAGUAUGAAUUCCUUGAAUAUCCAUGAUGCUAAUGAUAUGUAAAGCCACAAGCUUGGGGAAGAUAUGUUUGAUGAAUAUGAUAUAUUUUGUCCCCCAAGCUUUGAUGAGCAAAUUUAUUUUGAUGAUAGCAUGCCUCCUAUUUAUGAUGAUUAUAUUGAUGAAAGUGGGUUUGGAAGAGUGUCAACUUUAGGAAGUAGUGAUCCCACUAUUUUGGAGGAUGUUGAAUCUUAUUAUGAUGAACAUGAAAGUGGAUUUGGAAGAGUGUAAACUUUAUUUAGUGAUGAAUCCACUAUUUCGGAAGAGGUUCCAAUUGAUUAUGAGAAUAAAGUUGCUAUCUAUGAUGAUUAUUGUGAUAACUUGUUGUCAGGACCCCGACUCAAUGCCACAUCGAUCUAGCAUGUAACACCUCAUAUCACUUUGCGGCCUCACGCACGGUAUUCCCACGGGUGUCGCCUUACCUUUGCCCGGGACCGUUUGCGCCUUUUGGCACACGUAUAUGACAGUGUCGCUAGCAUCCAUAUGAUAAGGAGCCCGGGCUGACAUGGCUAGUCGUAAACCCAAAGUGGCACAAACUUACAGGGACAGGCAUCCAUGACCCAGCAUCGAACGUGUUGGUCAUCAGCGAGUGAAUCCAGGCUGUAGCACUGGGCUAGCAGGACUCUGGUGAACCGGGCUGUAGCGGGCUAACAGGACUCCGGUAUUCAUCGCGUGACAUUUCCCCGAAGGGACAGACACAGGAACGAAGAAGGACACAUGCCGGCCAGCCUAAGUGUUCCGGAGCAGUAGCAAGCUACCAUGGCUUGGUGGAAACACUAGGAGACAUUUCCCGGUAAGAGAGGCUACUAAAGAUAAACAACUAGAUAGUCAGAUCCCACACAUACCAAGCAUUUCAAUAACAUACACACAAUAUGCUCGAUAUGUGCAAUACAACAUGGCAUCACGAAAUGACUCUACGACUCAGUAGUUUUUAUUCAAUAGGCUCCGAGGAGCGAGAUAUUACAAUCAUGGGUCUCAUGACCCAACAAUCAGAGCAUACAAGUCAAAGCACAAGCGGAAGCUCAACAUGUCUGAGUACAGACAUCUACAAAUGGAAAAGGCUGAGAAGCCUGACUAUCUACCAGAUCCUGCCGAGGGCACAAGAUCGUAGCUGAGGUAACAAGCUAAACGCCGAAGUCCACGUGGAACUACUAGUGAGACUGAAGUCUCUCUGCAAAAACAUAAAUUAAGCAACGUGAGUACAAAUGUACCCAGCAAGACUUACAUCAGAUCUAUCUACAUAUGCAUCAUUAUCAACAAAGGGGAUGGUGGGGUUUAACUGCAGCAAGCCAGCUUUGACUCGGUGGCUAUCCUGAACUACAACUGCAAUGUAACUCUUUUGAGGUGGCGCACACGAGUCCACAUAUUCACCAUAUCAAUACACCACUAUGGAUCCGCUCCCAUCUCCCUACGAGAACGCCAUCCAUAGCACUCACGCUUAUCUUGCGUAUUUUAGAGCAUCCACUUUCACUUGUCUAUGAACUAUGCAAGGGGUCCAAGUUUCCAUAUCCGAGGAAUCCGGCUAUUCGAAUAGAUAAUGAUAACCCUGCAGGGGUGUACUUCUUCACACACGCUCCCGCCACUUACCGCCCUGUACACAUCAUGUACCUCGGCAACCUUCAAGCGGAAGCCGGGCGAGGGAGUCGGCCACGACCUGACUAACCGAACAAGUCUCUAGUCCAGGUUUAUCGCCUAUUCGGGUUCCAUCCGCAAGGAGAUCCGGCCGGGGUGUCGCUUACGGCCCCAAACGAUGUGUGCAGGGUUCCCAAGCCCACCAACCGGGUGCCACUUGGUACACCGGGCCACUGUGCCUAGUCUGUCCCAAGCCCACCUGUACCGGGUGCCACUUGGUAGACUACUAACACUACCUACAAACACCAGAAACUAGUUGCAACUCCUGGACAGAGAUCAAGUUGAUUAAUAAGCCGAGAGGGGCACUUAAGCAUUCCAAUGUGUGGUAGUAGCUGGUCAUGGAUCACAAACACAGAACUCAGUUCCUGAGGACGGCUGCAAUGAGACAACCCACCAUGUACUCCUACAUGGCCUCUCACCGCUACCUUUACCAAAUCGUGUUCACACACUUAGCUCACACACAGCAGGACAUGUUCACACGCCUCUGAUUCAUCCCCGAUGAAUCAGACCUGACUCAACUCUAAGCAGUAGCAGGCAUGACAAACAAGCAUGAAUGAGUAGGCACAUCAGGGCUCAAACAACUCCUACUCAUGCUGGUGGGUUUCAUCUAUUUACUGUGGCAAUGACAGGUCAUGCAAAGGAUAAAGGGUUCAGCUACCGCAGCAAGUAUCAAAUAUGUCGUUGUUGUCCUAAUGCAGUAAAAGAGAGCAGGAGCGAGAGAGUGGGAUUUUAUCGGAAUGAACAAGGGGGUUUUGCUUGCCUGGCACUUCUGAAGAUAACAUUGAGUCUUCAUCAGUGUCAACGAUCACGUCAUCGGUAAUUAAUCUACCAAACCAUAGUAUACCUUGCACAUGCAUGACUGACUUGGGACGAUUCCACAGGAAGAAAAACUAACUUUCUCGAACCCACGGCGGCAACUUACGUCAAAUGCACGUGAAUCAAAGAAAGUCACUUCUCUCAUCCAGCAUAUACUUCAUGAACGGGGCAUGAAGAAAUUGCCUAUAAAAGUUUCCAACACUAGGUUGAUGUUCAACAUGAAUCAUGGGGGAGACAAAAUGCUGCUGAUGGCCUCAACAACAACUCAUCGGAAUUUCCAUAUCACUGGACUUCCACCAUCAUGUGAACACGGUGAUAGCAUUGGUCAGACCCAAAAGAUAUAACGGUGUAUGCUCGAGGGAUCAACCACGAGUAGGACAACAUUACGAACAUCGUUGGUUCUAUCUUGAUUUGACGAUAGCCCACACUCAAAUCAAAGGAUUGAUAAGACAAUAGGUCCAGCAACUGAUCACAGGGACCAAUCGAUGAAGAUAUCAUCUUUCUUCAACACACACUACACAAGAAUAUCCCUUUGGAACGAACUAAGUCAGACAAGCUUUUAUCUUCCAACUCUCCAAGUUGUUGUCUAGCUUAACCAACUAGCUCAGGGAUAUCUAACACCGAUUCUUGGAGAGAAGGUGGUUCAUAAGAAACCAAUUGAUCACGAGCUCAACAUAACGGUCAGGUGACGACCUGGUGAUACUUCCGAGAAGACAUUCAGAAAAUCACGAACCACCGGUAUGUUACUAAGCUCGAGAACAAUCUCGCUUUUGAGGGCAAGACGAUAUGAUCAAAUGAGUAAGGAUUGGCACUAUCCUAACUCACUGAUCGGAGAGUGCACCAGAAAUAAGGACUAGGUAGCACAAUCAACCUUAGGGUGACGAUUCAAUAAUCAACACGCUAAGAAUGAGGUUAUCGUCCAUUUAACUACCAAGCAAUGGAGUUGCUAGCAGUAUUGAUUUCACACGCCAUGAUUCAUUUGUCGGCAUUCCGGUUACAAUAACACGGAAACCAAGAAAUUAUCAAUGAUGAUCAGAAGUAUUACUGCGUCAAGAAUUCAUAAGAUGGUGUGCAAUUCCCAUGAUAUUUCUGAUAUAAAGAUGGUAAUACUUCAAGGUAGAACAGACCAGAAGCUAGAUUGGCAUUUUGAUCUGCGGAGCACAACUUCUUUGACCCAAUCCUGGAUAUGGAAGAGGUACUAGAGUUUGUUUCUCCUAGUCAUUCUGCGAUAGAAUGGCUUGACGGACCACAAGAGUAAUAGGCAUCGAUAGACGAACGCACGCAUACUCUUGACAAUCAAUUGAUAGACGAGGGUCAGAAUGCAACUAAAGAGAGCAACUCAAAGGAACAUGCGAUUUUCUGAGUUGUGGAUGCAUGGUUUAGCAUGUCGAACGAAUUCCACAUAUUUCUUCCGGAUAACCCAUGCAGAAAGGUAGAACUGGCAGAGUCACAAUGUAGAAUCGAGAACCCAUCGAGAGCACUCUGAAUGUGAUCUUUCGAUCAGCGAGGAACAUCUGCCAUAAGCGGUUCAUAGUAUUUGGAAGAAAAGAAUACCACGAACAUCGAGGACUAAUGCAAAAGGUUACCAAUAUCCUGAAGGAACUAGCAAAUACUAUCAACAUGAAGUAAAUAGGGUGAAUCUCGGGUUCAAGAACCCAGGGAUAGAAUACCUACUACUAAGUAGCAUCACGGGAUGCUUUCGAGAAUGAUGGCCAGAAUCAUCACACUGGGAACACAAAUCAUGGCUAAAUUACUAGAUGACUCCCUAAAUACCUAGGGUCAUAAUAGUAACUCCAACAUAAAUGUCAAGGCAACAGAGUACCUCAACUCACUGAUUAGUGUGGUUAAUCUGGCCCAAAGGAACAUUGAAACGGAAGGAAAGAAUCUACAAGUGCAUCAGACUGUUUAGAAACCUGGAAUGACUCGGACAGCAUAACGGCUGUAAAUGCUCAGAAAAGAUUUGAGACAUUCACAAAAAUGGUGGCAUAACCACUCAGAAGCACAAUAUCAAGGUUUCGAGACCAACAAUUAACAUACAGAAGUAGUAAGAACUGAACUGAGACUUAAAUCCAACAAUCUAUAAGUCUACGGAUUAGUAACACGUGAUCCUGAUAGAAAGAAAAGAUAGCCUAGUUCUUAAUCCCCGCAGGAAAGAUAAGAUGACUCAGAUCAGAAGGCAUAAGGUAUAGGCAGUAAAAAGAGCCUUACGUUCCAUCCCACAAUCAAUUCCCUUAUAUAACUAAAGAAUUUCUAGACUCAACUUCGACCAGUUUGGCUUGGUAAACCUACAGGCAGUCAAGCUCUGAUACCAACGCUGUCAGGACCCCGACUCGAUGUCACAUCGAUCUAGCCGGUAACACCUCAUAUCACUUUGCGGCCUCACGCACGGUAUCCCCACGGUGUCGCCUUACCUUUGCCCGGGACCGUUUGCGCCUUUUGGCUCACGUAUAUGAUAGUGUCGCUAGCAUCCAUAUGAUAAGGAGCCCGGGCUGACAUGACUAGUCGUAAACCCAAAGUGGCACAGACUUACAGGGACAUGCAUUCAUGACCCAGCUUCGAACGUGUCGGUCAUCAGCAAGUGGGUCCGGGCUGUAGCACUGGGCUAGCAGGACUCCAGUAAACCGGGCUGUAGCGGGCUAACAGGACUCCGGUACUCAAAGCGUGACAUUUCCCCGAAGGGACAGACACAGGAACGAAGAAGGACACAUGCCGGCCAGCCUAAGUGUUCCAGAGCAGUAGCAAGCUACCAUGGCUCAGCGGUAACACUAGGAGACAUUUCCCGGUAAGAGAGGCUACUAAAGAUAAACAACUAGAUAGUCAGAUCCCACACAUACCAAGCAUUUCAACAACAUACACACAAUAUGCUCGAUAUGUGCAGAUACAACAUGGCAUCACAACAUGACUCUACAACUCAAGUAAUUUAAUCAAUAGGCUCCGAGGAGCGAGAUAUACAAACAUGGGUCUCAUGACCCAACAAUCAGAGCAUACAAGUCAAAGCACAAGCGGAAGCUAUCAUGUCUGGGUACAGACAUCUAUAAAUGAAAAAAGGCCGAGAAGCCUGACUAUCUAUCAGAUCCUGCCGAGGGCACAAGAUCGUAGCUGAGGUAACAAGCUAAACGUCGAAGUCCAAGCGGAACUACUAGUGAGACUGAAGUCUCUCUGCAAAAACAUAAAAUAGGCAAACGUGAGUACAAAUGUACCCAGCAAGACUUACAUCAGAUCUAUCUACAUAUGCAUCAUUAUCAACAAGGGGGUGGUGGAGUUUAACUGCAGCAAGCCAGCUUUGACUCGGUGGCUAUCCUGAACUACGACUGCAAGUAACUCUUUUGAGGUGGCGCACACGAGUCCACAUAUUCACCAUAUCAAUACACCACUAUGGAUCCGCUCCCGUCUCCCUACGAGAACGCCAUCCAUAGCACUCACGCUUAUCUUGCGUAUUUUAGAGUAUCCACUUACACUUGUCUAUGAACUAUGCAAGGGGUCCAAGUUUCCAUAUCCGAGGAAUCCGGCUAUUCGAAUAGAUGAUGUUAACCCUGCAGGGGUGUACUUCUUCACACACGCUCUCGCCACUUACCGCCCUGUACACGUCAUGUACCUCGGCAACCUUCAAGCGGAAGCCGGGCGAGGGAGUCGGCCACGACCUGACUAACCGAACAAGUCUCUAGUCCAGGUUUAUCGCCUAUUCGGGUUCCAUCCGCAAGGAGAUCCGGCCGGGGUGUCGCUCACGGCCCCAAACGAUGUGAGCAGGGUUCCCAAGCCCACCAUCCGGGUGCCACUUGGUACACCGUGCCAUUGUGCCUAGUCUGUCCCAAGCCCACCUGUACCGGGUGCCACUUGGUAGACUACUAACACUACCUACAAACACCAGAAACUAGUUGCAACUCCUGGACAGAGAUCAUGUUGAUUAAUAAGUCGAGAGGGGUCGAGUUACCGGAACCCAAUGUGUGGUAGUAACUGGUCAUGGAUCACAAACACAGAACUCAGUUCCUGAGGACGGCUGCAAUGAGACAACCCACCAUGUACUCCUACAUGGCCUCUCACCGCUACCUUUACCAAAUCGUGUUCACACACUUAGCUCUCAACGGUAGGACAUGUUCACACACCUCUGGUUCAUCCCCGAUGAAUCAGACCCGACUCAACUCUAAGCAGUAGCAGGCAUGACAAACAAACAUGAAUGAGUAGGCACAACAGGGCUCAAACAACUCCUACUCAUGCUAGUGGGUUUCAUCUAUUUACUGUGGCAAUGACAGGUCAUGCAAAGGAUAAAGGGGUUCAGCUACCGCAACAAGUAACAUAUGAAUUGUUGUUGUCCUAAUGCAGUAAAAGAGAGCAGGAGCGAGAGAGUGGGAUUUUAUCGGAAUGAACAAGGGGGUUUUGCUUGCCUGGCACUUCUGAAGAUAAUAUAGCUCUUCAUCAGUGUCAACGAUCACAUCAUCGGUACAUCGUCUACCGAGGGGGAACAACACCGGCAAACAUAGAAGAAACACGAUCAAUGCAAUGCACAAUAUGAUGCAUGCUAUGACAUGGCAAUAUGAAUGUGUUUUGGGCUAAUGCAUCUAGCAACAGGUUAAAUGAAGUUGGUUUGAAUACAAGAUUCAAAUUCAAACUCCAUAUGUAAUUAUUCAAAUGCCAUUUAAUUGAUUUGUGCUAAACAGCAGCUAUAAGUUGUUCUAACAUGCAUGGAAAUGGUACAGAUGGAUUCCUUGAAUUUUUCUGAUAAUUUUUCAUAUAUAAAUUAUUUAAUUUGGAGUUACGGUUAAUUUUCUAUGAUUUAUUGUUAGCUAUUUCUGGAAUUUCCUGAUUUUUAUAAAAUAAACUAAAUUCCAGAAAAGGAAUAUUGCGUCAGCAUGACCUCACCCUGACGUCAUCAGGUCAACAGGGCGGGUCCAGGUCAAACCUGACGUGUGGGGGCCACACGUCAGUGUCACAGGGCUGCUUAGCUCACUGACAGGUGGGACCAAGUCAACGGCCACGUCAGCUUGGUCAAAGCUGACGUGUGGGCCCACGGUGGUUAGGUUAAAACUUAACAGAAAAUAAUGAAAAUUAAAUAAGGGCGUGGGGCCCAUACGUCAGUGACCCAGAGGGUUGGUUAGUGGUGUGUUUAGGCCCUAAUCACGACCACGUUAGCGGUCGACGCCGGCGACCAAAAGCACGGCGGUGGCUCGCCGGAGAUGCUCGGGGACGGAGCUACGGAGCAUCGUUUCGCUCGUGGUUUGCAGCUAUGGGACGCUGGCAGUGAGGCGCAUCCGGUGGUGGCCGCAUGGUGUGCUGGGGGUGUGUGUAACAGCGGCGGCGGCGAGCCGGGCGGCCGCCGGAGUUCGGGAAUCCAGGCUUUGGGCGUUACGGGGCACGGCGGGCGCGGCCGAUGGGCUCUACGGGUUGCUGGGGUCACCAGGAACACUCGGAGGCAACGAGCGCAGGUGGAGGAGCUCGGGAGCACGAAGCUCACCGUCCAUGGCGGCGGCCGGAGCUCGGGUUCGGCGGGGCAGCUAGCUAGGGGACGAAAUCAAGUGCGCGGAGUGAGGGGAAGAGAGGAGGAGCUCACGGGGAGUCGGACGAGAUGCUAAGUGGGCUCGGGGACGUCCUGUCGGCGGCGAAUCGACGUCGGCGGCGACCGGCUUCUGAGAAGGAAAAAGAUGAGGCCGUCGGCGAUGCAGGCCGUCCCAGCGCUUGGGGCCAGGUUGGGGCGAAGCGGCGAUCGAUGGCGGGGCUUCGGGUCAUGUAGGAGAGGCGAGGGGGAGAUGGUGGCCGUGGUGGAGCUCGUCGGUGGUGGCGGCUCCGUUCGGGUGAGCUCAGGGAAGAGAGCCAGGGGAGGAGAGAGGGAGCAGCGAGAGAGGAAGAGGAGCGAGGGGACACGGGGCGUCGUCGUGGCGUCGUUAGGGAGGCCGGGGGAAGCAGGAGGUGGCCGAGGCGGCGUCGGCGCUCGCCACCGAGCUGCUUCGGUGCGAGGGGAGGAAGACGACAGGGGGUUAGCGGUGGCGGGCUGGGCCGCCAGCUGGAGUUGGGCCAGGCAGGUAAGUCAGGUAAGUGGCUGGGCUUCUCUUUUUUUUAAAUUUCUGUUCUGUUUUGUUUUUCAAUUUAUUUUGCCACUGUUUUGAAUUUAAAAAUAAUUCAAACAAUGCCAAAAUCUCCUCUGAAUAUUUUUAUUUUGCUAGAUGGACUUUUCCAAAAGCUCAUAAAAUAUUUCAGGGAUAUUUGAAAUUAUAUUCUAAUUAUAUGAAUAUAAUUCAAAUUCAAAUAGCUAAUGAAUUAAAUUCAAAGUCCCAAAAAUAAAUCCUUAAAAAUGUUCAAUAUUUUGGUUGGGACCAGAACCCUUGCCAAAAAUUAUCAAACAUUUAAGAAGAGCAUUUUGGAACAAUGAAUGAGAUUUUUAGGGUUUUUGCCCUUCUUUUAAUUAAGUUUUUGAGGCUUUCAAAAUUCCUCAAUUCAAGUUUCAAAAAUAUAGACAUGAUGCACAGAUGGAAGCAAGCCUAGGUCAGGCCAGGACUAGGGAUGUGACAACUCACCCCCACUAAACAAGAAUCUCGUCUCGAGAUUCAAGCGUAGGGUAAGAUGAAGGGGAAACACAAACUAGUAUAAUCUUCACGAUCCAGGUUGCACUUCAAAUGAACGUUGAUUCGUUCACCAUCAUUGUCUUGAUGUCUUGCUCCGAGAAUUCCAGCUAACAUGACGAGAAGAGGAAAGGAAAACCUAGAAGAAUCUAUCUUCUCGAAGAUCAAUCAACUUAGGAUCAGCUCACAAAGUGAGUCAUAGCAACAUCUCUUGAGCUGAGACACGAAGCAUACAUCUGAGGAAAUGGAGUGAGACAGAUGACGAGGGCUCACUAAGUAGACAACAAUUUCACACCUAAAAAGGUGGUAAACGAUUGUCAACGUAGCGAGGAGUUGAGUUGCCAUGAUACCACAACGAACACCUUAGGAACCGUGACUCGUAGAUAUAUCCCCUUAAGUGGCAAAAAGAAUUACCUUUGAUAUAGAGAUCAUUGAGACUCUCUAUAUCAGCCUAAGGCAAAUCACAGCAAUCGAUUGGCGGGGGUCGGUAGAAUGGCAUACUCGGACUUGGAUGAUGUGGAUUACCUUGUUGAAGACAACGUAAUGGAUGAAUUUGCUUACCACCGGAAAUGGAAGAGACCCAUGGUAGAAUGGCACAUUGGCGGUGCAAGCUGGGAACAAAAUGCAAAUGCUGGGAAUGAUUCUGGUAACUGGGGAAGAACCCAACAAUAGAGAGUGCAUUCACUGUUUGAAAAGGUCAUAGCAUAACCGAGGAAGCUGAGAGCAAACCCAGUUAGUGCCGAUGAUAACACCUAGCGCUUGCGCGUGCUCUCAAGAACUUGAGCCUUUCCACAAUCAUCAAGUUUUUAUCAACAUCCGUGUCAAGGGUGCUGACAACACAACAUACUACCAUGAUGGCUAAUGAUGGAUGAUGCAGAUGCAAAGGAAGAUAACACUUUCUCAGAUUUCACCUUAGCGAGGCCAAGGAACCAAAAUCUGCAUGAUCGACCAAGAGACAUUUAGCACUCGGCUUCUAAUGUUCUCCUUGACGUGCUAGUGUAUCCCAUUCAUAGAUAUGGUUUGAUAACUAGAACAUCAAGUAAAGGUCAGACUUCGGGAGCAAUAGAAUCCAUAAGGAACAGUUAUGGAGGUAAAUCCUACGAAAUCCUUAUGGGGAGGUGGCCAACUUCUUCAAUCAAGAUACUACCAUAAUAGGUCUUCCGGCUGGGUGUGUUAGCCACGACAUCCACUUUACCGGUUAUCGAGGGACCAAUAUUAUAGUUCUUGGGAAAUGUUCCAACCAUCAUAUCUGCCUGAGGUUCAGAUCUGGUUGGUGUCAGGAUAUUCCAGACUCAUCGAGUCUAGGAAGAAAAACGAAAGUUUGCAACACAAAUCGAUGAGAUGACGUUGCGAGAUUCUCGGGAAAUGAACUACGAUAGCAAGCUCCAAAACAUGAGCUGGUUCUGCUACACAUGUGUGAACAUGCUGUCUCAGACAAGCAUGACCACAUGGUAGCCUUAUAAUAAAAUACUACCGAGUUCUGGUUGGGAACCAUCAUCGAGGAUAUCAAAGUUCUUGAUUAAGCCCGGGUUAGCUCUUAAAAAGAACUCCUUCUCCUGGAACAAAUCAGUCAGUGGCUUGGUGUGCUACAUAAUUCAUAUGGAACGAAGAUGAUCAGUCUAACAGACCACAGAAUACUUUGCACGUGCAUGGCUGACUUGGGAUGAUUCUAGAGGAAGCAAAAAUAGACUUUCUCGAAUUCACGGCGGCAACUUACAUCAAAUGCACGUGAAUCAAAGGAAGUCACUUCUUUCAUCCAAACAUAUACUUCAUGAACGGGGCAUGAAGAAAAUGCUUACACAAGUUUCCAACACUAGGUUGAUGUUCAACAUGAAUCAUGGGGGAGACAAAAUGCUGCUGAUGGGCUCAACCGUAACUCAUCGGAAUUUCCAUAUCACUGGACUUCCGCCAUCAUGUGAACACGGUGAUAGUAUUGGUCAGACCAAAAGAUGUAAUGGUAUAUGCUCGAGGGAUCAACCACGAGUAAGACAACAUUACGAGCAUCGUUGGUACUGAUUUGAUUGAUGAUAGCCCAUACUUACAUCAAAGGUUUGGGUAAGAUAAUAGAUCCAACAAUUGUUCACAAGGGCCAAUCGAUGAAGAUAUCAUAUUUCUUCAACACACACUACACAAGAAUAUCCCUUUGGAACGAACUAAGUUAGGCAAGCUUUUAUCUUCCAACUCUCCAAGUUGUUGUCUAGCUUAACCAACUAGCUCAGGGAUAUCUAACACCGAUCUUGGAGAGAGGGUGGUUCACAAGAAACCAACUUGAUCACGAGCUCAACAUAACAGUCAGGGGACAACCUGGUAAUACUUCCGAGAAGAUAUUCGGAAAAUCACGAACCACCGGUAUGUUACUAAGAUCGAGAGCAAUCUUUCUUUUCAGGGCAAGAUGAUAUGAUCAAAUGAGCGAGGACUUGACAAAAUCCUAACUCAUCAAUCAAAGAGUGCACUAGGAAAUAAGGACUAGGUAGCACAAUCAACCUUAGGGCGAUGAUUCAAAAAUCAACAUGCUAAGAAUGAGGUUAUUGUCCAUUAACUACCAAGCAACAAGGUUGCUAGGAGUAUUGAAUUCACACAUCACGAUUCACUUGUCGGCAUUCCGGUUGCGACAACACGGAACCGAGGGAUGAAUAAUGAUGGCGAGAAGUAUCACUACAUCAAGAAUUCACAAGAGCCGGUGCAAUCCUCAUGAAAAUCCUGACAUAAAGACGGUAAUACUUCAGGGUAGAAUAGAAUCAAAAGCUGGGCUGGCAUUUUGAUCUGCGGAGCAUGACUGCUUUGACCCAGUCCUGGAAAUGGACAAGGUACUGGAGUUUGUUUCUCCAAGUCAUUCAGGACAGAAUGGCUUGACGGACCACAAGAGUAAUAGGCAUCGAUAAACGGACGCACGCAUACUCUUGACUAUCAAUUGAUAGACGAGGGCCAGAAAACAACUAAAGAGGGACAACUCAAAGGAACAUAUGAUUUUCCAAGUUGUGGAUGCAUGGACUAGCAUGUCGAACGAAUUCAACAUAUUUCUUCCGGAUAACCCAUGUAGAAAGGUAGAACUGGCAGAGUCACAAUAUAGAAUCGAGAACCCAUCGAGAGCACUCUGAUUGUGAUCUUUCGAUCAGCGAGGAACAUCUGCCAUAAACGGUUCAUAGUAUUUGGAAGAAGGAAAUACCACGAACAUUGAGGACUAAUGCAAGGGUUACUAAUAACCUAAAGGAACGAGCAAAACUAUCGACAUGAAGUAAGUAGAGUGAAUCUCGGGUUCAAGAACCCAGGAAUAGAAUACCUACUCCUAAGUAGCAUCACGGGACGCUUUCGGGAAUGAUGGCCAGAAUCAUCACACUGGGAUCACAAAACAUGGCUAGACUACUAGAUGAUCACCUGAGACACCUAGGGUCAUAAUAAUAACUCCAACAUAAUUGUCGAGGCAAUAGAGUACCUCAACUCACCGAUUAGUGUGGUUAAUCUGGCCCAAAGGAACAUCGAAACGAGAGGAAGGAAUUGCAAAUUGCUUCAAACUAUUUAGAAACCUGGGAUGACUCGGACAGCAUAACGGCUGUAAAUGCUCAGAAAAGAUUUGAGACAUUCACAAAAGGGUGGCAUAACCACUCAGAAGCACAAUAUCAAGGUUUGGAGAUCAACAGUUAACAUACGGAAAUAGUAGGAACUGAACUGAGACUUAAAUCCAACAAUCUAUAAGUCUACGGAUUAAUAACACGUGAUCCUGAUAGAAAGAGGAGAAAGCCUAGUUCCUUAACCCCGUAGGAAAGAUAAGAUGACUCAGAUCAGAAGGGCAUGAGGUAAAGGAGUAAAAAGAGCCUUACGUUUCAUCCCACAAUCAAUUCCCUUAUAUAACUAAAGAAUUUCUAGACUCAACUUCGACCAGUUUGGCUUGGUAAUCCUACAGGCAGUCAAGCUCUGAUACCAGCGCUGUCAGGACACCGACUCAAUGCCACAUCGAUCUAGCAUGUAACACCUCAUAUCACUUUGCGGCCUCACGCACGGUAUUCCCAUGGGUGUCGCCUUACCUUUGCCCGGGACCGUUUGCGCCUUUUGGCACACGUAUAUGACAGUGUCGCUAGCAUCCAUAUGAUAAGGAGCCCGGGCUGACAUGGCUAGUCGUAAACCCAAAGUGGCACAAACUUACAGGGACAGGCAUCCAUGACCCAGCAUCGAAUGUGUCGGUCAUCAGCGAGUGAAUCCAGGCUGUAGCACUGGGCUAGCAGGACUCCGGUGAACCAGGCUGUAGCGGGCUAACAGGACUCCGGUAUUCAUCGAGUGACAUUUCCUCGAAGGGACAGACACAGGAACGAAGAAGGACACAUGCCGGCCAGCCUAAGUGUUCCGGAGCAGUAGCAAGCUACCAUGGCUUGGUGGAAACACUAGGAGACAUUUCCCGGUAAGAGAGGAUACUAAAGAUAAACAACUAGAUAGUCAGAUCCCACACAUACCAAGCAUUUCAAUAACAUACACACAAUAUGCUCGAUAUGUGCAAUACAACAUGGCAUCACGAAAUGACUCUACGACUCAGUAGUUUUUAUUCAAUAGGCUCCGAGGAGCGAGAUAUUACAAUCAUGGGUCUCAUGACCCAACAAUCAGAGCAUACAAGUCAAAGCACAAGCGGAAGCUCAACAUGUCUGAGUACAGACAUCUACAAAUGGAAAAGGCUGAGAAGCCUGACUAUCUACCAGAUCCUGCCGAGGGCACAAGAUCAUAGCUGAGGUAACAAGCUAAACGUCGAAGUCCACGUGGAACUACUAGUGAGACUGAAGUCUCUCUGCAAAAACAUAAAUUAAGCAAUGUGAGUACAAAUGUACCCAGCAAGACUUGCAUCAGAUCUAUCUACAUAUGCAUCAUUAUCAACAAAGGGGAUGGUGGGGUUUAACUGCAGCAAGCCAGCUUUGACUCGGUGGCUAUCCUGAACUACGACUGCAAUGUAACUCUUUUGAGGUGGCGCACACGAGUCCACAUAUUCACCAUAUCAAUACACCACUAUGGAUCCGCUCCCGUCUCCCUACGAGAACGCCAUCCAUAGCACUCACGCUUAUCUUGCGUAUUUUAGAGCAUCCACUUUCACUUGUCUAUGAACUAUGCAAGGGGUCCAAGUUUCCAUAUCCGAGGAAUCCGGCUAUUCGAAUAGAUAAUGAUAACCCUGCAGGGGUGUACUUCUUCACACACGCUCCCGCCACUUACCGCCCUAUACACGUCAUGUACCUCGGCAACCUUCAAGCGGAAGCCGGGCGAGGGAGUCGGCCACGACCUGACUAACCGAACAAGUCUCUAGUCCAGGUUUAUCGCCUAUUCAGGUUCCAUCCGCAAGGAGAUCCGGCCGGAGUGUCGCUUACGGCCCCAAACGAUGUGUGCAGGGUUCCCAAGCCCACCAACCGGGUGCCACUUGGUACACCGGGCCACUGUGCCUAGUCUGUCCCAAGCCCACCUGUACCGGGUGCCACUUGGUAGACUACUAACACUACCUACAAACACCAGAAACUAGUUGCAACUCCUGGACAGAGAUCAUGUUGAUUAAUAAGUCGAGAGGGGUCGAGUUACCGGAACCCAAUGUGUGGUAGUAACUGGUCAUGGAUCACAAACACAAAACUCAGUUCCUGAGGACGGCUGCAAUGAGACAACCCACCAUGUACUCCUACAUGGCCUCUCACCGCUACCUUUACCAAAUUGUGUUCACACACUUAGCUCUCAACGGUAGGACAUGUUCACACACCUCUGGUUCAUCCCCGAUGAAUCAGACCCGACUCAACUCUAAGCAGUAGCAGGCAUGACAAACAAACAUGAAUGAGUAGGCACAACAGGGCUCAAACAACUCCUACUCAUGCUAGUGGGUUUCAUCUAUUUACUGUGGCAAUGACAGGUCAUGCAAAGGAUAAAGGGGUUCAGCUACCGCAACAAGUAACAGAUGAAUCGUUGUUGUCCUAAUGCAGUAAAAGAGAGCAGGAGCGAGAGAGUGGGAUUUUAUCGGAAUGAACAAGGGGGUUUUGCUUGCCUGGCACUUCUGAAGAUAAUAUAGCUCUUCAUCAGUGUCAACGAUCACAUCAUCGGUACAGCGUCUACCGAGGGGGAACAACACCGGCAAACACAGAAGAAACACGAUCAAUGCAAUGCACAAUAUGAUGCAUGCUAUGACAUGGCAAUAUGAAUGUGUUUUGGGCUAAUGCAUCUAGCAACAGGUUAAAUGAAGUUGGUUUGAAUACAAGAUUCAAAUUCAAACUUCAUAUGUAAUUAUUCAAAUGCCAUUUAAUUGAUUUGUGCUAAACAGCAGCUAUAAGUUGUUCUAACAUGCAUGAAAAUGGUACAGAUGGAUUCCUUGAAUUUUUCUGAUAAUUUUUCAUAUAUAAAUUAUUUAAUUUGGAGUUACGGUAAAUUUUCUAUGAUUUAUUGAAGUUUUAGCUAUUUCUGGAAUUUCCUGAUUUUUAUAAAAUAAACUAAAUUCCAGAAAAGGAAUAUUGCGUCAGCAUGACCUCACCCUGACGUCAUCAGGUCAACAGGGCGGGUCCAGGUCAAACCUGACGUGUGGGGGCCACACGUCAGUGUCACAGGGCUGCUUAGCUCACUGACAGGUGGGACCAAGUCAAUGGCCACGUCAGCUUGGUCAAAGCUCACGUGUGGGCCCACGGUGGUUAGGUUAAAACUUAACAGAAAAUAAUGAAGAUUAAAUAAGGGCAUGGGGCCCAUACAUCAGUGACCCAGAGGGUUGGUUAGUGGUGUGUUUAGGCCCUAAUCACGGCCACGUCAGCGGUCGACGCCGGCGACCAAAAGCACGGCGGUGGCUCGCUGGAGAUGCUCGGGGACGGAGCUACGGAGCAUCGUUUCGCUCGUGGUUUGCAGCUACGGGACGCUGGCAGUGAGGCGCAUCCGGUGGUGGCCGCGUGGUGUGCUGGGGGUGUGUGUAACAGCGGCGGCGGCGAGCCGGGCGGCCGCCGGAGUUCGGGAAUCCAGGCUUUGGGCGUUACGGGGCACGGCGGGCGCGGCCGAUGGGCUCUACGGGUUGCUGGGGUCACCAGGAACACUCGGAGGCAACGAGCGCAGGUGGAGGAGCUCGGGAGCACGAAGCUCACCGUCCAUGGCGGCGGCCGGAGCUCGGGUUCGGCGGGGCAGCUAGCUAGGGGACGAAAUCAAGUGCGCGGAGUGAGGGGAAGAGAAGAGGAGCUCACGGGGAGUCGGACGAGACGCUAAGUGGGCUCGGGGACGUCCUGUCGGCGGCGAAUCGACGUCGGCGGCGACCGGCUUCUGAGAAGGAAAAAGAUGAGGCCGUCGGCGAUGCAGGCCGUCCCAGUGCUUGGGGCCAGGUUGGGGCGAAGCGGCGAUCGAUGGCGGGGCUUCGGGGCAUGUAGGAGAGGCGAGGGGGAGACGGUGGCCGUGGUGGAGCUCGUCGGUGGCGGCGGCUCCGUUCGGGUGAGCUCAGGGAAGAGAGCCAGGGGAGGAGAGAGGGAGAAGCGAGAGAGGAAGAGGAGCGAGGGGACACGGGGCGUCGUCGUGGCGUCGUUAGGGAGGCCGGGGGAAGCAGGAGGUGGCCGAGGAGGCGUCGGCGCUCGCCACCGAGUUGCUUCGGUGCGAGGGGAGGAAGACGACAGGGGGUUAGCGGUGGCGGGCUGGGCCGCCAGCUGGAGUUGGGCCAGGCAGGUAAGUCAGGUAAGUGGCUCGGCUUCUCUUUUUUUUAAAUUUCUGUUCUGUUUUGUUUUUCAAUUUAUUUUGCCACUGUUUUGAAUUUAAAAAUAAUUCAAACAAUGCCAAAAGCUCCUCUGAAUAUUUUUAUUUUGCUAGAUGGACUUUUCUAAAAGCUCAUAAAAUAUUUCAGGGAUAUUUGAAAUUAUAUUCUAAUUAUAUGAAUAUAAUUCAAAUUCAAAUAGCUAAUGAAUUAAAUUCAAAGUCCCAAAAAUAAAUCCUUAAAAAUGUUCAAUAUUUUGGUUGGGACGAGAACCCUUGCCAAAAAUUAUCAAACAUUUAAGAAGAGCAUUUUGGAACAAUGAAUGGGAUUUUUAGGGUUUUUGCCCUUCUUUUAAUUAAGUUUUUGAGGCUUUCAAAAUUCCUCAAUUCAAGUUUCAAAAAUAUAGACAUGAUGCACAGAUGGAAGCAAGCCUAGGUCAGGCCAGGACUAGGGAUGUGACACUUGUAUGCUAUUAGGAAUAAUGAUAACCAUGAAACUUGUCAUCAUGAUUUUAGUUUUGAAUUGGAUUAUGCCUCACAUGAUAAUUAUUUUGUUGAGUUUGCUCCCACUAUUAUUCGUGAGAAGAAAUUUUCUUAUGUGGAGGGUAGUAAAUUUUAUAUGCUUGUAGAUCAUGAAAAGAAUGCUUUAGAUGCUGGUUAUAUUGUUGAAUUCAUUCAUGAUGCUACUGAAAAUUAUUAUGAGGGAGGAACAUAUGCUUGUAGGAAUUGCAAUAACGUCAAGUUUCCUCUCUAUGUGCUUACAUUUUUGAAGCUAUGCUUGUUUUACCUUCCUAUGGUAGUUGAUUAUUGUUCCCAUAAGUUGUUUGCUCACAAAAUCCCUAUGCAUAGGAAGUGGGUUAGGCUUAAAUGUGCUAGUCAUAUGCUUCAUGAUGCUUCCGUUAUGUUUCAAUUCUUAUCUUUUUGUGAGCAUCAUUGUCAUCAUCAUGCCUAGCUAGAAAAGCAUUAAAGAAAAGCGCUUGUUGGGAGACAACCCAAUAUUUAUCCUUACUGUUUUUGUGUGUCCACAUGAUUAUGCUACUGUAGUAAUCAUGUUUUAUAGCUUUUGUUUCAAUAAAGUGUCAAGCAAGACCUUUAGGAUAGCUUAUGGUGAUAGUUGUGUUGAUCCUGCUGAAAAUCAGAAACUUUUUCACCCAGUAAUUUAGUUUUUUUUAAUUCACAGAAACGUUCUUCUGGUCUGAUUCUUUUUUCUCUGGAUUGGUACACAAAUUUCUUAGGACUUAUGGUGAUAGUUGAGUUCCAGAAGUAUACGUUUGAUACAGAUUACUACAGAUUGUUCUAUUUUUGACAGAUUCUAUUUUCUAUGUGUUGUUUGCUUAUUUUGAUGAAUCUAUGAGUAGUAUCGUAGGAUAUGAACCAUAGAUAAGUUGGAGUACAGUAGAUAUUACACCAAUAUGAAUUUAGAAUGAGUUCAUUACAUUACCUAAAUGGUGGUUUUAGUUUCUUGUACUAAAGGAGCUUACGAGUUUUCUGUUGAGUUUUGUGUUGUGGAGUUUUCAAGUUUUGGGUAAAGAUUCGAUGGACUAUGGAAUAAGGAGUGGCAAGAGCCUAAGCUUGGGGAUGCCCAAGGCACCCCAAGUUAAUAUUCGAGAAUAGCGAAAAGCCUAAGCUUGGGGAUUCCCCAGAAGGCAUCCCCUCUUUCGUCUUCGUUCAUCGGUAACUUUACUUGGAGCUAUAUUUUAUAUUCACCACAUGAUAUGUGUUUUGCUUGGAGCAUAAUUUUCUUUUCUUAGUAUUUUCUUGCUGUUAUUUAGAAUAAUGUUUUGCAUCUUUAGUUUCAAUAAAAAAGUCAAGGAUAGCCUUUGCCAUGCUUAUUUUGCUAGUAUACAUGUUGCUGUUUGAAAACAGAAAGUUUAUCGCUGUUGCAAAAAUUCCCUAGAAAAGUCAGAGAAUGGUAUAAUGUUGAAACCUUUUGCAUGAUGAGAUCUGAUAAAUUUACUACAGUGGGAAUUUUAUUUCAUAAUUGUUGGAGUUAGUGAAGUAUGGAUACUCUUGCAUUUUUUACAGACUGUACUGUUUUGGCAGAUUGCUGUUAUGUUUGCAUUGUUUGCAUAUGUUUGCUUGUUUAAUAAUUCUAUUUGAGGAUAGGAAUAUUAAAUAUGCAGAGGCAUUUAGUAUGAAAUGUUGAACAAUAAUUUUAUUGAUUUGUUAUAGUAGAAUAUGAUAAGGUUUUGCAUUGGUUUGUACUAACCUAUCUCACGAGUUUUUGUUGAGUUUGUUGUGAAUGAAGCUUUUGAGAAAUAGAGAAUUCAUGAUAUGAGAGAAAUUAAGGAGACACAAAAGUUCAAGAUUAGGGAUGCCCAAGGCACUCCAACAUAAUAUUCAAGAAGUCUCAAGCAUCUAAGCUUGGGGAUGCCCCGGUAGGCAUCCCACCUUUCUUCUUCAACAACUAUCGGUUAGUAUCGGUUGAGCCUAAGUUUUUGCUUCUUCACAUGAGUUGUGCUAUCCUUACAAUGUAAUUUUAUUUUAUUUUGUUUUCUAUUUGAAUAAGAUACCAAGAUCUAAAAUUUCUUAAUGUUAGAAAGUCUUCACAUAGUUGCACAAUUAUUCGACUACUCAUUGAUCUUCACUUAUAUCUUUCGGAGUAGUUUGUCAUUUGCUCUAGUGCAUCACUUAUAUCAUUUAGAGCACGGAGGUGGUUAUAUUUUGUAGAAAUUUUUAGUCUCUCAUGCUUUACUUAUAUCUUUUUGAGAGUCUUUUAGAGCAGCAUGGUAUUUGCUAUGGUUACAAAGUUGGUCCUAGAAUGAUGAGCAUCCAAGUUGGAUAUAAUAAAAACUAUCAUAGAAAGUGAAUUGGAUGCUAUGAUCAACUUGAUGCUUGAUAAUUGUUUUGAGAUGUGGAGGAAGUGAUAUUAAAGGCAUGCUAGUUGGGUGAUUAUGAAUUUAAAGAAUGCUUGUGUUGAAGUUUGUGAUUCCCGUAGCAUGCACGUAUGGUGAACCACUUUGUGAUGAAGUUGGAGCAAAAUUUUAUUUAUUGAUUGUCUUCCUUAUGAGUGGUUGUCGGGGACGAGUGAUGGCCUUUUCUUACCAAUCUAUCCCCCUAGGAGCAUGCGCGAAGUGCUUUGGUUUUUGAUGACUUCUAAAUUUUUGCAACAACUAUAUGAGUUCUUUUGAUUAAUGUUGAGUCCAUGGAUUAUACGCACUCCUUCACCCUUCCACCAUUGCUAGCCUCUCUUGUACCGUGCAACUUUUGCUGGUACCAUACACCCAUCAUAGUCCUUCCUCAAAACAGCUACCAUACCUACCUAUUAUGGCAUUUCCAUAGUCAUUCUGAGAUAUAUUGCCAUGCAACUUUCCACCGUUCCGUCCAUAUAACACACAUUACUUUUGUCAUAUUGCUUUUUGCAUGAUCAUGUAGUUGAUAUUGUAUUUGUGGCAAGGCCACCUUCAUAAUUUUCAUACAUGUCGCUCUUGAUUCAUUGCAUAUCCCGGUACACCGCCGGAUGCAUUCAUAUAGAGUCAUAUCUUAUUCUAUCUUUGAGUUGUAAAUCCAUAAAAGUGUGAUGAUCUUCAUUAUUAGAGCAUUGUCCUAGUGAGGAAAGGAUGAUGAAGACUAUGAUUCCCCCACAAGUCGGGAUGAGACUUCGGACUUUACAAAAAGAAAAAAAAAGGAAAAAAAGAGAAAGGCCAAAAAGAAAAAAAAAAGAGAAGGCCAAAGAAAAAAAAAGAAGAAAAAAAAGAGAGAAAGGACAAUGCUACUAUCUCUUUUUCCACACUUGUGCUUCAAAAUAGCACCAUGAUCUUCAUGUUAGAGAGUCUCAUAUGUUGUCACUUUCAUAUACUAGUGGGAAUUUUUCAUUAUAGAACUUGGUUUGUAUAUUUCAAUGAUGGGCUUCCUCAAAAGUGCCCUAGGUCUUCGUGAGCAAGCUAGUUGGAUGCACCCCACUUAGUUUCUUUUGUUGAACUUUCAUACAUUUAUAGCUCUAGUGCAUCUGUUGCAUGGCAAUCCCUACUCACUCACAUUGAUAUCUAUUAAUGGGCAUCUCCAUAGCCCGUUGAUACGCCUAGUUGAUGUGAUACAAUCUUCUCCCUUUUUUGUCUUCUCCAUAACCACCAUUCUAUUCCACAUAUAGUGCUAUGUCCAUGGCUCACGCUCAUGUAUUGCGUGAAAGUUGAAAAAGUUUGAGAUUAUUAAAGUGUGAAACAAUUCCUUGGCUUGUCAUCGGGGUUGUGCAUGAUUAAAUACUUUGUGUGAUGAAGAUAGAGCAACAGCCAGAUUAUAUGAUUUUGUAGGGAUAACUUUCUUUAGCCAUGUUAUUUUGAGAAGACAUGAUUACUUUGAUUAGUAUGCUUGAAGUAUUACUAUUUCUUAUGUCAAUAUGAACUUUUAUUUUGUAUCUUUUGGAUCUGAACAUUCAUGCCACAAUAAAAAAUUACAUUGAGAAUUAUGCUAGAUAGCAUUCCACAUCAAAAAAUCUGUUUUUAUCAUUUACCUACUCGAGGACGAGUAGGAAUUAAGCUUGGGGAUGCUUGAUACGUCUCUAACGUAUCUAUAAAUUUUGAUUGUUCCAUGCUAUUAUAUUACCCCUUUUGGAUGUUUAUGGGCUUUAUUUUACACAUUUAUAUCAUUUUUGGAACUAACCUACUAACCGGAGGCCCAGCCCAUAUUGCUGUUUUUUUUUGCCUAUUUCAGUAUUUCGAAGAAAAGGAAUAUCAAACGGAGUCCAAACGGAAUGAAACCUUCGGCAACGUGAUUGUUUGGAAGAAUAUGAUCCUGGAGACUUGGAGUACACGUCAGAAGAUCCUCGAGGAGGCCACGAGAUAGGAGGCCGCGUCCCCCUUACAGGGUGGUGGCCCCCUGUCUCGUGGGCCCCUCGAGCACCUCCCGACCAACUUCUUUCACCUAUAUAAGCCUACGUAUCCUAAAACCAUCAAAAAUCAAGAUAGAUCAGGAGUCCCGCUGCCUCAAGCCUCUAUAGCCACAAAAACCUCUCGGGAGCCCGUUCCGGCACCCUGCCGGAGGGGGAAUCCAUCACCAGUGGCCAUCUUCAUCAUCCCGGCGCUUUCCAUGAUGAAGAGGGAGUAGUUCACCCUCGGGGCUGAGGGUAUGUACCAGUAGCCAUGUGUUUGAUCUCUCUCUCUCGUGUUCUCUCUCGUGUUCCCUCUAUGGCACGAUCUUGAUGUAUCCCGAGCUUUGCUAUUGUAGUUGGAUCUUAUGAUGUUUCUCCCCCUCUACUCUCUUGUGAUGAAUUGAGUUUCCCUCUUGAAGUUAUCUUAUCGGUUGAGUCUUUUAUUUGAGAACACUUGAUGUAUGUAUUGCCCUGUUUAUCUGUGGUUACAAUGGGAUAUCACGUGCCUCUUGAUGUAUGUUUUGGUGACCAACUUGCGGGUUCCGCCCAUGAACCUAUGCAUAGGGGUUGGCACACGUUCUUGACUCUCCGGUAGAAACUUUGGGGCACUCUUUGAAGUACUUUGUGUUGGUUGAAUUGAUGAAUCUGAGAUUGUGUGAUGCAUAUCGUAUAAUCAUGCCCACGGAUACUUGAGGUGACAAUGGAGUAUCUAGGUGACAUUAGGGUUUUGGUUUUGGUUGACAAUGCCGCACCCUAAAGUGCUGAAGCAAAGUUGUAUUGUGCGACACUAUGCCUAGAUGGGACAUCUAAGCCCUCGGGUAUGUGCACUGUGACUAAGUACCCUGUGGAAUGAUACGUCUCUAAAGUAUCUAUAAUUUUUGAUUGUUCCAUGCUAUUACAUUACCCCUUUUGGAUGUUUAUGGGCUUUAUUUUACACAUUUAUAUCAUUUUUUGGGACUAACCUACUAACCGGAGGCCCAUCCCAUAUUGCUGUUUUUUGCCUAUUUCAGUAUUUCGAAGAAAAGGAAUAUCAAACGGAGUCCAAACGGAAUGAAACCUUCGGCAACAUGAUUUUUUGGAAGAAUAUGAUCCUGGAGACUUCGAGUCCAUGUCAGAAGAUCCUCGAGGGGGCCACGAGAUAGGAGGUCGCGCCCCCCUUACAGGGUGGUGGCCUCCUGUCUCGUGGGCCCCUUGAGCACCUCCCGACCGACUUCUUUUGCCUAUAUAAGCCUACGUACCCUAAAACCAUCAAAAAUCAAGAUAGAUUGGGAGUUCCGCCGCCGCAAGCUUCUGUAGCCACCAAAAACCUCUCGGGAGCCUAUUCCGGCACCCUGCCGGAGGGGGAAUCCAUCACCGGUGGCCAUCUUUAACAUCCCAGCGCUCUCCAUGACGAGGAGGGAGUAGUUCACCCUCGGGGCUGAGGGUAUGUACCAGUAGCUAUGUGUUUGAUCUCUCUCUCUCGUGUUCCCUCUAUGGCACGAUCUUGAUGUAUCCCGAGCUUUGCUAUUGUAGUUGGAUCUUAUGAUGUUUCUCCCCCUCUACUCUCUUGUGAUGAAUUGAGUUUCCCUCUUGAAGUUAUCUUAUCGGAUUGAGUCAUUUAUUUGAGAACACUUGAUGUAUGUAUUGCCGUGUUUAUCUGUGAUGGCAAUGGGAUAUCACGUGCCUCUUGAUGUAUGUUUUGGUGACCAACUUGCGGGUUCCGCCCAUGAACCUAUGCAUAGGGGUUGGCACACGUUCUUGACUCUCCGGUAGAAACUUUGGGGCACUCUUUGAAGUACUUUGUGUUGGUUGAAUUGAUGAAUCUGAGAUUGUGUGAUGCAUAUCGUAUAAUCAUGCCCACGGAUACUUGAGGUGACAAUGGAGUAUCUAGGUGACAUUAGGGUUUUGGUUGAUUUGUGUCUUAAGGUUUUAUUCUAGUACGAACUCUUGAAUAGAUUGAUCCGAAAGAAUAACUUUGAGGUGGUUUUAUACCCUAGCAUAAUCUCUUCAUUUGUUCUCCGUUAUUAGUGGAUUUGGAAUGACUCUUUGUUGCAUGUUGAGGGAUUGUUAUAUGAUCUAUCUAUGUUAUUAUUGUUGAGAGAACUUGCACUAGUGAAAGUAUGAAUCCUAGGCCUUGUUUCCUAUCAUUGCAAUACCGUUUACGCUCACUUUUAUCAUUAGUUACCUUGCUGUUUUUAUAUUUUCAGAUUAUAAAUACCUAUAUCUACCAUCCAUACUGCACUUGUAUCACCAUCUCUUCGCCGAACUAGUGCACCUAUAUAAUCUACCAUUGUAUUGGGUGUGUUUGAGACACAAAAGACUCUUUGUUAUUUGGUUGCAGGGUUGUUUGAGAUAGACCAUCUUCAUCCUACGCCUCCUACGGAUUGAUAAAACUUAGGUCAUCCACUUGAGGGAAAUUUUCUACUGUCCUACAAACCUGUGCACUUGCAGGCCCAACAACGUCUACAAAAAAAAGUUGUGCAGUAGACAUCAUGGAACACGGGUCAUGAAACACUUUGUAGUACGGUGCAAGCAACACAACAAGAAUACGAAGAAGCACAAUCAAGAAUAGAGCAAAACCACAGUACUCGGCACCCGUACGACACAAUCUACCACUCAACAUCCUACAUUAAGAAAUUAAGAAUUUAGUACUGAUCUAGGACAAAAUAAGUACGUAUAUUCUGAACACAUUUUACUUGCAUAAUUCUAAGUAUGAGGUUUAAUUUAUUUAAUCUACUCUUGACUUGAGUCACUUUUUUUCAAAGAGUAUAUAUAGGAGACGUAGAACUUGAGAUGACAAGAGAUGGAUUUUUUUGAGAAACUUCUAUUUUCUUUAGGUAAGGAGGGAACCUGUCUUUCUUAAGGCUUAACAGACUCUAACUAAGUACAUGACUCUUUCCUUAACGAUGCUCUGAUACCACCUCUUCUGUGACGUCCUGUUACAUCCAACAGAGUCAGGCGUAACGGAAGCCGUCACUUCAGAGUUGCGCCAGGAUCAUUUACGGAAAACAGUAUCAUGUACAAGACGGAGCAACUGCCAUGAGUAGGCAAGCUUUUAUUACAUAGACACCUCAAGUGUCGACUAAGCCUAAGCGACCAUGACAAUAGAUCGUCACCCGCUUCUAGUGCGAGCCUUCUAGACCAACCAUGGAGGACAUCUACUCUUCAUAGACUUGAUUGCCAACAUCCUCAUGAUCAUACUUCACUUCAGAAUAACCAUAGUCGUCAAGAUGACCAGACUCAUCAUAAGUACCAUUCUCUAGUGCCUUAGAGUUCUCAUAACUCCCUUGUUCUGAAAAACAACAUAAGUGCAGCUGAGUACGUAUAAAAUACGUACUCCGCAAAUCGCCGGGAAAAGUGGAUGCAUGAGUAUUUUUAAGAGGAAAAACUUUAUCGGCCACGGCUACCACCACCGAGCCAUUAGCUCAAAAUACUUUGUAGGUAAAAAAAAUUAUUUUCCCUUAACCCAUUUUGUUGAAAAUCAAAUUUUAUUUAUAAAAUCUACUGGCGACAGAGCGAUGUGGGAUCUUACAUCCUGUGUUAGAGGAAAACCCACACGACGCACUUCCAAACCCGGAAGCUGGGAGUGAUAUCACAUUUAUUCUGAUCAGAGGUGUACUGCUUUGCCCAUAGCAUCACUUGGUCCAAGUCGUCCAUGCGCUACCCGUGCGCACGACUAGACCAAGGAACCAGAACCUUUAACCAGCUCGUAGACUACCUCUGCUUUUCCACCUUGCCUUACUAUAGGCCCGCGGGCCGAGACCCCUGACCGGCGGUCCCGCCCUAGGGUGACUGUACCUACCCGGCUACAGCCACCUUCUCACCCAUGCAGAGGCAACUACUUGGCAUCGGUAGUCGGUUCAGCCCGUCCCAUUCCAGGCCUAUGGUCAGUACGGUUUGCGCCGCUUUUGACGUAAGCGCCAGUUAGUUGUGUCCUAAUGUGAUACCCUAUGUAGAGGAGUCUGCCAUCCAAGCCAACCCUACAUGGGUCGUCUUCACCAACAUGAGCUCCCAUACCCACCAAAUUUUUAGUUAUAAUGUAACCCUGCCCGGGUCACGACUACUUAAUACAGAUACUUCACCUGAUCUGGUCCAAUUGCCAAAUCAGUGGAUCCACCUGAUCCAAAUAUCAUUUUAUUUAUGAAAAGUAUUUAUUUUUAAUUCUUAUGCAAAAUUUUGGAAAUGACUCAUAGCCCGGAAAACAUUUAUGAAGACAUGAUCAAGGAGAUGACGACUUGCCGGGUAGCGCCCCGACCAACUCGAAACCACCAGAUGGGGGUCCUAUGGGUCUGAGAUCGACUCCUGAUAAUUAUUUCACAAAGAAGUUUAUAUUUUCCCUAAUCAAGAUCCAAGCAUCAAGAAACAAUUCCAUACGGUGCAAUCCAUUUUAAUUAAAGAGGCAAUGAUACAUGCUAGUGUGUAAUUAGAAGCAAAAUGCAUACAACACAUCAAGAAGUAGUACGCACACGCACAUCACAAAGAGCAAGCAAGCAAGCUCAAAAGGAAAAAUGUGUUUAGCUGGUCGAACCCAACCCCGGCAGAAAUAUCAUUUCUUUUUUCUCCAACUAGUCAUCUUACCCAGCUCUCUUCCUCUCUCUCACUGUCACUGGUAUGCAAAGCCACGAACAUAUCCAUCUCUCUCUCCGUAACUACAGAGCAGGCCGCCGCCGGCUCGAUCUGCCACUUCCGGCCAUCUCCGGCGACACCGCGGACACCCACAGAAUCCCCUCAACUCCCUCUACCAUAUACCCCCAUUUAUUUGAUCCGCCGCCGCCAAAAUCGCCGCCACCCUCAAACCCCAGCGCCGUCUGCAUCGGGUCCGAUGGGUUCACCACGGGCCGCAGCAGCAAUGGCAUCUCCCUACCUACAAACUCCUCCUGCAGAGCUGCACGCACGAGGCGUGCGACUAUGGCCGUCAGGCGUGACCAUCUUAACCGGUGCGGCUCUGGCAACAUGGCCGCUACAGACGCCCGGCUCGCCUUUGUCUACUGCUACUAGGGUAAGUGCCAGUCCAAAUUUCUCUCUGUGCAGUGUUCUUACCUUUGCUGCAAGUGUUUGUGCUAUGACUCCCCUUACUGCCAUGCUUCUUGUUAAUCUCAAGACCAAGGAAUUAAUCAAGCUUUACUCUAUGGUGUGGACGUGGUCUCCAGAUUUAUUCUAUAUUGUUUAUUCAAUUUUUAGCUCUACUACACUAUCCUCGCACUACUAUGAUUCUUUUUUAAUUAAGCUCAUAACUAGGAAUUAACCAGUGAAUUCCUACUGUCACCGACUUGAUUAAAAAGCGACAAGUUAAUUUCUUGUGAUGGUUAGGUGCUGCCACAAACUAAAUCUAAAUGUUGCUUCUACUGUGUGUGCGCGUGCACUCAUUUCUGCACCCUACAACAGUCAAGUGAACAUCGACAUUGAUCACUCAAAACAUUCUUAGAAAGGGGAUCAUGAAAGGGAAAAUAAGAGGAUGUCAGGAAUUUAUUUGUACAAGAUUUGCACAAAGUAUGUUUAUUUUUUUUUUCUGUUUUCAGAAUGAUGCAUGUGCAAAUGAGACAAGGCAAACAUUAGCCAAACAGUGUUCAAUACAACUAGGAAGGGAUCAUUAAGAUGAGUAGCAUACACAGGAAGCUUGAGCUAUUAGCUGUACAUGUAAAUCUUAGCAAGUUAAUAUUUGGGAUUUAAUUCUCAGCAUGACAUGUCUAUUAUAUACAUAGAUCUAGUACAAGACAGAGAUGGACAUGCACAGUACACAUGCAUCACUUAACCACCAUGUACUAAUUUGUCUUCAUCUAAUAUAUGUGCUUUCUUUUUCUAACCAUCAUUCUUCUUUUUACAGAGUAACUAGAGUCCAAAAGAGCAGGUGUUCAUGUUCUAAGCAAAGGUGAAGAUGGAUCAAGCAAACAAAGCUGCAAAAGCAAGGCACUUGAAUAGUACCUGAUGGCAACUCAGCAUCCGACCAAAAGAGUGGAUGGGGAUGGUGGGGAGAGCUUGGUUCUCUCUUGUGCGUGUUGUGUGCUGUAGAGGAAGUCAAAGGUGAAAGGAGGAGGCUGCUAUUUAUAGUAGUGUAGGGUGCUAGGUCGGUUUGGUAAAAGAGAGAUGUGGCUGACAUGCCUGGUUGCAUGAGCAUGCAAGCCUCCACAUGUAAUCAUGUGAGUUGUACAACGGACAAGUGUAUAGUGCAUGGUUGGACACGAGUUGGCAUAUACUUUGUGUGUAAGGAAUGAGACAAGGGCCUAAUUGUAAAUCUGCAAACUAUAAGGGAGUUGGAGAAGAACCAAUGUACAUGGCUAAAUACUAACUUUUUUUGUUGCAAUAAAUUUUUGAUAUUAGUGUUGUGGUUAAUUAUAAUUAUUCAACUAACUAUGCCUUCUGACACUGGUGUAACAUAGCGCCGUCAAAAAUAUCGUUAUCUAAUUUUAAGGGUUUUUACAGUAGCCAUGAUAGUUUCAUUUAUAUUUGAUGGAAUGUUGUAACGAGAUAAUUUUGAGGCAAGACACAUGAAUCAUAAGUUGAAACCUUUUUUUUCCUGCAGGAACCAAAGUGGAAACCUUCGUAGCUUCACAGUACAAUUUCAUUAAAAUUAUGCGUACAUAUAAACAAAUCCUGAAGGAUUGAUAGUAAUGCCAGAAACAAUUCAACUUCGUUUCGCCGACAUGUUGGACAUCCUUCAAUCGCCUUCACCUGCCAUGCAGCAAUAUUGAGUGCACAACACAACUGCAGGGAAAGAUUCACCCCGGUCGUUGCGCCGCAGUAGUAAUGACUAGUGAGCAGUCAAAUCAUAGAGCCCCACCUUCGCCAUAGUAAGUUGCUCGGAUGAAGCAACCAUCAUUUCUCUGUUCCUUGAAUCCACUGGUACUCCCAUAUUCCCACGGUAAUAAGUUGCUCGGGCGAAUCAACAAUCACUUCACCUUUCCCUCAGUAAGUACUAGUACCUCCUUUUUUUACUCUAGAAACAACCACAAGCGAAUAUUGGACGGUAGCAGCACGACAACUGAAUAAAAAAUUCUAUAGUAUGAGAAUAACUUUGAACGUAAGCCAUUGAUUCACUCUAUCCAAUGGUCAUAGUUGGAAAAUCUAAACAAAACCAAGCAUUGGAUCAACUCUUUUAGCACUCAGAUUGUUGCCGCCUACUCAACUGCCUGCCCACCUAUAUAUCCACUGACGUGUGAUGACCACAUGAGCUAUCCAUUCAGAUCGUAUGUUAAAAAAUAAAGGUCGAUAACUAAUGCAACACCUUGGGCCAACGCGGCCAUAUCGCAUUUUGCACGAGAAAUUACGCACCAUGUUUCGUUGACAUGUGGUCCUGUUCCAACAUGUCAGUGAGACGAUGGCAAGUCCUUUUCUACUAGUAUUUCCGAACAGACGUGUAGGCCGGGGCGCCUCUUAGUGUACCGUGGCAAACUGGCAACCGUCCACCGACUCUUCGCCUUUCCCUCUCGAUUUGGAACUACUGUCGCACGCUCUUCCUACCUCCUCCAUUUGCCUUGACCCUUCCUUCUGCCAUUGUUUGAUCGUCUUCUCCAUGGAGAGAACAGGGCCAAAACGACCCCGUUAUUCUUGCCUCGAUCUGAAAGAUGACAUGGUGGAGGAACUCAUUGAUCAGUGUGACGUCAUCACCUCGGCUAGCAUGGCAGGUUCGUUCAAAACCAUUCUCGACUCAACUAAUAACAUCAUUAAAAGGAACCCAAGGGUCCAGGAGCGGUUUGAUCUCCCCUAUCUUCUUCGCUGUGACCCUGAUGACUGGCGCGGGACGACGGAGGCCUCACCUUGUGUAAGUUGAUGCCGCUUGAUAAUGAUACGUAUGAUGUUAAGAUGCCAUCGCUUGAGGGCAAGGAUUGGGCAGGCGCAAAUAGAGAUUGGGUUGUUUAUAUUGGGUACAACUGCGAGUGGGAACUUGUGAAUGUGUACACUCAUCACCGGGUUCCACUUUGAAAAAUCUCAGCAGACUUCCCAAAGGUUGAGCACAUCGGUAUUCUACGCACGUUCAAAUACGAUCAUGGUGACUGUCUUCUACGGAAGAUAGCAAUUCGUCGAGUUCCCAACCGCUCUUGGAAUUACAAGAACUAUGAAGUUGUUGUUAUCUUCGACAAGCUUGUUGCCAUCCUUUGUGGUUCGACUCAAUGGAUAUUGCUCAAAAAUCAGUUUCUAUACAAGGAUGUGUACUGUGAUGCAAUUCAAUACGAGGGUUCUGUGUUUUUGCAUGGGAUACUCGUAGUUUCGAUACGUUUUUCUUCCGCCGUAAUUAUAAUUGUUUCAUCCACAUGCAUGCAGGUUUGCAAGUCUCCCUUUACUAAUUAACCUUCUUCUUGUGUUUCCAAGGUCCUGUGAACAUUCCACCACCUAUACUUGAAAUUUUUUAUAACCAAGGGGGAGAUGAUGAUGGUGAUGAUCACGAGCAUGAGGAUGAGCAGAACUUAUAUACUUAGUGGCGCCUAGCAACUAAUUCCGAUGGAUCACCUCUUCUUGUCUGUAUAUAGCGCACUGAGUUUGUGACUACUGAGGGAGCAUGUGUUGUCUCCCAUGGUCGCACUCUCCAGACCUAUUCCAACACUCGUUGCAUGGUAUUCAGGAUGGAUACUAGUGUGCUAGCGCCAACACCUUCUCCCUGAUACAGUAUUGAUAGUCUUGGAGAAAACUUGCUCUUCCUUGGACAAAACUAUCCGAUGAUGGUGAAAGGCGAUCCAACUGUCGUUGACACAAUGUUACUACCAUUUAUGAGAAGCAAUUGUAUCUAUACCUCGGACGUUUGGGUGGUUCCCUACCCUGGUACUGAUAUAGUAGGCCGCUUCAGCCUGGAUGAUCACUCCUGCGUUGGUCUCGAGAUUGACAAUAGAUGGCCCGUCCUAGAGAAUCACUUGUGGUUCAAAGCAAGUGUUUCCAACGCCGAGGAUUGGUUGAGUUGAAGUUCAUUUCAUUGCUUGUUAUUUGUUGUGUGAUGAAAACUUUAGUAUUUAUAAUGUAUCCUCAUUGUCGUUGUGGGUUGAUGACCUUCUGUAUGUAAUAAAAUGAUAUGCCUGUGAUAAACUUACUAAAUUUAUGAAAGGCAUUCGAGUCGCUUCUCUGAGUGAGUGCUGCGAUGAGGGAAAAAAUAUUUUCCGAAUACAUAGUUGUACGUGCAUUGCAAUAGGUUAUCAGAUGAGGCCAAUCAAUAAUAGUAGUACACUAUUUGUACUAGCUUCACAUGCUUUGCGCACCAAGCGGGUGGUUCUACUAUAGCUGCGAAUCCCAUCAUCCUAGGUUCUCGGAUGAGUCCAGUAGAAAUUGCAUUCUGAUGUUUGGGUUCAAACUUUCAGAACUGCUGCACUAUCUCUACGUCUACGUACACGUAUUACAACAAGUUUUAAACUUGAGACCAGCCACCCACCCGCACAAAGAACACUUUUUAACCUAGCACAGACUCCAGGAAAUUUGGCCAUAGUGUGAGGUGGGCCAUAUGUUAAUGUGUUCGCUGUACAUAACCAACACCUCGAAUCAUCGAUACUACUACUAUAUAAGUAGUAGGAGUAGUAGGGUGACAUGGGCCAGAACAAACAUUCACGUCCAGGAGUACGACACACGCCACCAGCACGACUUCCAUCUGACACCAUAUUUCUUGGAGUCCGUGCCACAACAAUCUCUUCAACCUCGUCGUUUCUCUAACUCAGCCAUCGCGCGUCAGGCGAGGUGCGGGUUUGCCGAUAGUCAGUUUUCUCAACUGCGGUCCCACUUGUAAGGCCAACUCCAACGCACAACCCCAAGCGGACCUCCGUUUUGCUCGGAUUCUGACCGUUUGGGUAGGGCAAUGGGGUUGUGUUCGGGCCAUUUUUAGGAUGUGGUGGCCACGCGCCGAACGCGCGGAUGCAUCCCGGCCGCGUACAUUUUUCUUGGCAAACACAUAUCUUUUUUUCAUCAUUGAUUUUUUGGUACAUGGAAAUACAUCACCAAAAUUUUGACUAGAAAAGCAAGACCAAAGAAAACAAGAGCCACAAGAAUACAUUUUAGAAGAUAUCCAACUUCCAUAACUGCUCCUGUAAGUUGGAUUAGUGCCUUCUCAAUGCAUUCAUUGUUGAUCUACAGAGGCUCGAUCUUGCGUCCUGCUUUCUUCUUUGAGUGUAAAGAAGUAGACAUUGCUUCCUCGCAUCUAGUCUCAUGUCUAGCCUCUAUUCUAUCAACAAGUGCACUAGUCUCAUCUCUAGCCUCUAUGCUAGCUAAAAUUGCUAGAACAUCUACUAAAUUGCGCUCUAUCAAUAUAUCGAUGUACUCUUCUUCCCAAUACCAAAACUUGCAUCCAUUCUACACAACAAAAUUUUAAGUUAGCACAACUAGUCUAAUCCGAGAGCACAACCGAGGAUUUGGUCGAGUUCUUCCUCCUUUUGCCGACACGUGGGACAUCCAGCAUCCAGGUCGUGUCAUGCAAGAAAAUAGAGUGGUAGUUUUAGCCACGUGAUGUGCAUUUGGGUUAAAAUGUAAAUAGAAUCUUACUACUCUUGAGUAACUCCAAAAGCGACAACCGAAGAUCUUUAUUGGAUUUGUUUUUCAUCAUCAGCACAUCGAGGUGAAAGAUGUGCAGGUUCAGUGGGUCCUCUUGCGUUUUCACUGACAUGUGGGACCACAUAUGAGCAAACAGACGAUGGGCUCCGCACGUCUGCUGGCUGGCUGAGAAGAAAGAUAGAGGAGGGCUGAGCACAGACUCUAGAAAAUUUGUUCUACAUAACCAGCACCUCGAUAUUUGUGUGUGGUUGUUUCUAGAAUAAAAAAAGAAGGUACUCCUAUUUAUGUUACUUCCACUACGCCUAGCCUAAGGUUAGUAGGUGACCUUGCGCUUGGCUCUUCGCCUCUUCCAGAAGUCGAACGUUCUACAGUAGUACUUCUGGCAAUCUGACACCAAAUGAACUGCUGCACGUCCACCGCUUGUAAGUAAAAGUUUCUCCUCGUGCUGCGAGCCACCACACAUCUAAAUGUUGCUUCUACUGUGUGUGCGCGUGCACUCAUUUCUGCACCCUACAACAGUCAAGUGAACAUCGACAUUGAUCACUCAAAACAUUCUUAGAAAGGGGAUCAUGAAAGGGAAAAUAAGAGGAUGUCAGGAAUUUAUUUGUACAAGAUUUGCACAAAGUAUGUUUAUUUAUUUUUUCUGUUUUCAGAAUGAUGCAUGUGCAAAUGAGACAAGGCAAACAUUAGCCAAACAGUGUUCAAUACAACUAGGAAGGGAUCAUUAAGAUGAGUAGCAUACACAGGAAGCUUGAGCUAUUAGCUGUACAUGUAAAUCUUAGCAAGUUAAUAUUUGGGAUUUAAUUCUCAGCAUGACAUGUCUAUUAUAUACAUAGAUCUAGUACAAGACAGAGAUGGACAUGCACAGUACACAUGCAUCACUUAACCACCAUGUACUAAUUUGUCUUCAUCUAAUAUAUGUGCUUUCUUUUUCUAACCAUCAUUCUUCUUUUUACAGAGUAACUAGAGUCCAAAAGAGAAGGUGUUCAUGUUCUAAGCAAAGGUGAAGAUGGAUCAAGCAAACAAAGCUGCAAAAGCAAGGCACUUGAAUAGUACCUGAUGGCAACUCAGCAUCCGACCAAAAGAGUGGAUGGGGAUGGUGGGGAGAGCUUGGUUCUCUCUUGUGCGUGUUGUGUGCAGUAGAGGAAGUCAAAGGUGAAAGGAGGAGGCUGCUAUUUAUAGUAGUGUAGGGUGCUAGGUCGGUUUGGUAAAAGAGAGAUGUGGCUGACAUGCCUGGUUGCAUGAGCAUGCAAGCCUCCACAUGUAAUCAUGUGAGUUGUACAACGGACAAGUGUAUAGUGCAUGGUUGGACACGAGUUGGCAUAUACUUUGUGUGUAAGGAAUGAGACAAGGGCCUAAUUGUAAAUCUGCAAACUAUAAGGGAGUUGGAGAAGAACCAAUGUACAUGGCUAAAU